rnacentral:lncRNA from 1 species
UUGAGAUGGACAGGUGGAGUUCAGGGCUUCUGGGGUGGAUUGUAGUAUGGGGGAGGCUUCUUCUUAUAUGGAGUUGGAGGAGGAGGAGGUUUCUUCCCUUCUGGCUUUUGUGGGGGUAGAGGAGCCUUGAUUGGAGGAGGGUGUUUAGGGUAACUAGGUGUGAUUGGUUUCACAACAGGAGGUAGAGUUGGUGUCUUAGGAUAAGGUGGUGGAAGUGGCUUGGUCACCGGCGUAGGUGGCGGUGAAUGUACAAUAGGAGGCUGAGUGCUUGGUGGUUUGCCAUAAGGUGAGGAUGGUGGUGGCCUCACCACUCUAGGAGGCAGAGUUGGUGGUUUGGGUUUGGGCACUAUUGGUGGUGAUGGCUUGUUAUAAACUGGGGGUGAUGGCUUCUUGAUGGGAGCUGGGGGCUUGUAAAUAGGAGAAGGAGUUGGUGGUUUGGGUUUGGGCACUAUUGGUGGUGAUGGCUUCUUGAUGGGAGCUGGGGGCUUGUAAAUAGGAGAAGGAGUGGGUGGCUUGGGUUUUUCAUUGUACUCAGCUAGAGAUGAAGUGAUGAGAACCACCAGGCCAAACAAUAGCACAAGCAACUUUGAGUAACUCAUGGUGUUUGUGUUUUUGUGAUGGUAUAAGAUCUAGACGGCAUCGUUUGCUAUUUAUAGUGCUCUCAGGCCUGUGUCGGCAAUACGUGUCAAAAGAUCUUGGUCAUUUUGUUUCAUAGUUAACAGUCAAGGAUUUUCAAAUUCAUGAGAAGAAAAGUACGAUUUUUUUGGCUGAAUAAAAGUUUAGAAGAGGGGAGGCUACACCAUCUUAGAGUUAGGACAUAUCAAAGUUUUCUUGAGGAUUUACAGAGGGGGUUUUAGUCUUUUUUUUUUGUUUUUACAGAUUAUCCCCCAAAAAGAAUUUUCGGCAACAGAACCCGAAUCUAAGUCUUGAUAGCAAAGAGAAUGAUCCUUAUCAACUCAACCAACCCUCGUUGACAGAGAAGUAAGAUUUUCAAUUGGUACGGAUGAUUGUUGAUAUAAGUGUUGUUGAUAGAGAAUCCCAAGUAUAAAUGGUAAAUUCUCUUAAUCAUUUGAGCAACAAAUUCUUUAUAAGUAAUUUGACUGAUUGAUUAUUGAUUGCAAUAAUGGUAAGUGUAAAUAAAAAUUGAGUAGUAUUUAAUGGAAAAUGACAUGACAGUAUUUUACUAGUUGAAAAUAGAACCAAGUUGUCGGUGUAGAUAAAAACAAAUGAUUCAGUCUUCCAAAAUGUGGAGAUUUGAAUUUGUGUUCGUCUAGCAUUAAUCUUUUAAAAAGAUUUUGGAUUUUUAUGUGAAUUUAAGUUAAUUUGAGUCUACAUUAUGCGUUCCAUGGUCUAUAUAAUUUAGACUGGUUUAAUUUUCCACAUUGAAUGACUUUUGUAUGUGGACUUUUCCCCCCAUCUUUCUUUAUUAUUGUCCUCUCCUCCGUUGUCGUUAGUUUUGUCACUUAUCAUCCUUGUGGUGUGAUGAUAAUUGGAAACGAGUGUUUCUAUUCUCGUUUCCCAAGCUAUGUUAUUAAAAUCUAACAUGAUUUGCAAAGGAUUCAUUAGGGUAGUAAUUUGGAGUAUUUAUUUCCUCAGGUAAGUUCUGGGUUCGAGUCGUAGUAUCUGUGUAGUGUGUGAGAGUUUAGCAUGCUAUUGCCCCUCUCAAUAGGAAAGGUCCUAAAAAAAAUCUAACAUGGUUUAUAUUGGUAUCAGGACUCUUCCAAUGGGACUACUGAGGGAACUGAGGCCAAGCCAUUGAUAUGUCAGCUUAGCGUUAAUGAAGAAAUAAAUAUAUUUGCUAACCAAGGUGGUAUGGGACUAGUGUGUAAGUAAAUGCCUUCUUCAUUGGGCUAGACUCUGUUAGCAUUAGGCAUUAAAACUUAAUAUCUCUUCCAACGGUGAAAAAAGAUGUAUCACUGAAUCACUAUAGGUACGGUAUUAUUUCACUUUCAUCUUUUACUAUCUAUUUUCAACGUACUAUAUCACUAUUGGAACAAUGCAAAAUUUCUGGAAUCAAUUAGGGAACAAAGGUGUGAAUAUUAUAUCUCCGUUCCCUUUUGUAAUAAAAUAUGUAUAGAGUUGAGCAAUGGUCACAAAAUUCGUUGCUUUCCAAUAGAUUGCUAUUUCAUUUCUGGUUAAAUCGUCUUGUAGUGGAAAAAACUGAGUCUUCAGCAGCCGCGUUUCUUGAUUUCUCUCAUGGAUUUGGUGAAUUUGAUGGCUGCUUGCGGACCAAUUAGCCGAAGGACAUGUGCUCUCUAUCUAACCCCGUCAUAGUCUGUAUAGCUCUACCUAAAAGGUAAAAAUCAGAGAAAGGAGAGAUCGGACUUGCGACCAAAUAUAUAGUGAGACACAUUACAAGAUUCUUGAAAGAUCUUGAGCCUCUCGAUCUAAAUUGGUUUUGAUUUGGAUGUUCAUAUUUUAUAUUCUAUAUAUAUAUAAUAACGUAAUAUAUUUACUAAUCUUGUUUUUACAGAAAAUUGUUAAGGAUUAUUGCAAAACGAAAGUGUAUUUGUUUAUUUGUUUGGGUUAUUCCCACAAUGUUCAUCCCACCGCCGCGUAUUUUGCUUUCUCUAUAGUGGUUAGGUCCAUUCACGUCAAUAUUAUAUUCAAUCUAAUUUUAGCUUUCAAUUACCAGUGUCCACUCGGUUUUCUUGACGUUUUGAUGUCAUGUAUUGGACCCGAAUAUCGGAUAUCAUCUGUCUCUUCCGCUGAUGAAGGGAUAAAUGCCAUCGAAUCAGAAGAUCUUACUUUUCCAAGGGGGCUUUUCUCUUGUCUCCUCCCAAUCUUCGUCGACUAAGAUCUUACUUUUCUUUUUCUUCUUUUAUAUUUCUACCUUCUUAAUCACUGUACGAAGGGAGAAUUUAUCAAAAAUAGCUAAAAUUUGACUCUUAAUUUCAAAAAUGUUAAUUUUUGUAAAAAUUUCAAUAUAACAGAAAACUCACUUAAAUAGAUACAAAUGUCCUUAAAUUUAAAACUUACAUAAACCUAAAAAAGAAACCUUAUUAAAUAAAACUUUGAAAUAUUUCCUCCAAACACUUUUCCAAUCACCUCUAUUUCUUUUUCUCUUUUUUUUUCCUUCUUCCGUUUGUCUCCAGCAUCACUCCCUCUCUUUUCCUUUUUUUUUUUCUUUCUUCUUCUCUCCACAUAUAUAUAUAUAUAUAUAUAUAUAUAUCUAUCUAUCUAUCUCUCUCUCUCUAUCUCUCUCUCUCUCUCUCUCUCUCUCUCUCUGUGCAUAUCUCUAUUCUUCUUCUCUCCCAUUUUCUCCAAAUAAAAUGUAUGUAUUUAUUUGGCAAAAAAAAAAGUAUUUAGAACCAAAAAUUCAGAAAAUGAUUGAAUCAAUGCACAAGUAUAAUUUCCUCCUCUCACCCAAAAAAAAAUAUUUAUUUCACAUAACUUUAAUUCUUCAAAAACUGUCACAAAUUUAGAGGUAGUCUGUAGAACAAAAAAUUCAAUAAAACGAUCUACAUUAAAAAAAUAUAUAAUUAAAUAUUCAUUCAUUACAAUUCAUAAAGUUAAAGAGAAAAAUAUUACACCAGUCCGUCUAUGAGGUAGGAUGAAGUGCAAUUGAAUUCUUGGAAGUUUGUCAAUAAUGGCCAAUUGAACCACAUCUUGAACACUUACGAGUUGAUGGUUCUUCUCCUCGUGAUGGGAUUCUCUUUUCCUCAAGCCUGCCGUGCCUUCUUCGUGUAAUUGGUGGUAGCACAAUUCUAUCUCGUACAUCAUCAAGCACCACCCAAUCUGUUUGAUCCCCAACUAGCCAUAUAGAUUCUGCAUCCGCAAUUACCAAUGAGUUUGUAGUAUAAUAUUUUGAACACAUUGGGUAGCACGAAAUUUGUCAAUGCGUACAUGCAGCACAAGCAUCUUCUGCUACACAUAUGUCAGAAUCAUCAUAUUACUAGACUCAAUAAUUUUCCAAGCCUAUCAGCACUAACCUUUGAUGCAGGCUCAAAGUGAAUUGACGAUAUUAAAUCAUAGCACUUUGAAUAGGGCUCAAGAGUCCAUUAACAGAAAUGUCGCAACUAUGGACAUUAAGUUAGCAAAACCAGAAUUGAAAUUUUAUAAAUAUAGUAUGAAGAAUAAACGAAGAAACGAAGUAACGAAGAAGAAAUUGAACGAAGAACCAAAGAAGAACAGCACUCUACGUACAAAGAUUCUCAAUCUAAUAGGGUUUUGUUUUUUAGGUUUAUGUUGGUUUUAAAUUUAAGGGUAUUUGUGUCUAUUUAGGUGAGUUUUCUUCUAUAUUUGAAAUUUUUUAUAAAAACUAACAUUUUUGAAAUUAGGGGUCAAGUUUUGGCUAUUUUUGAUAAAUUCUCAUACGAAGGAUUAUCUUUUAGGUGUGAACCUUAAAACACCAUUGGAUGAGAUUUAUGAUUCGUGUAGGAAAAAAAAAUCAAAGGAAGAAUGAGGAGAGCGAUGUUGAAGAAUAUUGAAGUCCCACAUCAGAAACUUAACAAAAUAAUCAAAUACUCCAUAUAAUGAAUGAUUCCACUAUUAAUAAUAUCGAGACUUUUUGUAUAAAAUUUCACAACUGCUAAACAAAUGGUUAAAUUAAAGACAAUAUUGAUAUUAUUAGUAGUGGGUCAUGAGUCCCGAAUAAUUCAAGGGUCAUGAGUCCCGAAUAAUUCAAGGGGAUGGUUUGAAAAAUUCAAUCUAAUUCUGGCUUUCAAUUACUAGUAUCCACUCGUUUUUCCUGAUGUUUUGAUGUCAUGUACUGUUUGAUUUUCAAACUAAUUAUGGGAUGGUUUGAAAAAUCAAACUAAUUAUGGGAUGGUUUGAAAAAUCAAACUUAGAGAAAGCAACCCUUACUGCCUAGAAAAAGAAAAAGGUUAGCCGGCCCUAACUUCUCGUUAAGGAUAAAAAUUUGAACCGGCAAAUCAGUGAACCGGAACCGAAUCUGCAUGAACUGGCUAUAUUUAUAUCUAGUUUUUAAUUUAUUUUUACAGAUGUCUUGUUCUCAUUGUUUUUUUUUUUUGACCUUUCCUAUUGAAAGGGGCGAUAACAUAUUAAACUCACACACACAACACGGAUGUCUUGUUAUCAUUGUUGAUUCUAUACAAUUAGUACAAAGUAAUUUAACAAACAAAGCAAUUUUCUAAAACGGUCCUCCUUUUUUCUCCUUCUAUGGUUUGGUCCUCCUAAUCUAUUCACGGCAAUACUUUGGGCACUGAGGUGAUUGAGCAUAGCCAUUGACAAUAAUACAAUUUAAAGUCUUAAACUCUAUACUUAGCUUAGGGUUAAGUAUUCCAUUAGUGGCAGAAUGUUAAGGCUAAAUAUACGCUAUCUUAAAAAGUCAACCACAAUUAUAUAUGUAACGCACUAUAAAUAUAAAAUGGGGUUAAUGACCUAAAUGGUCUUUCAACUAUUGCUCCAUUAUCAUUUUGGUCCACCAACUAAAAUUUUCAAUUCAAACGUCCUCAAACUUUUUAUUUUGUACCAAGAUGGUCCAUCCGUGACAGAUUCUGUUACUUCUGAUCACGCGAUGGCCACGUGACUGAGUUUUGAAGGGUAUAUGCAACUUUUUGAGAAGCUUUAUCGAAGGGUAUCACUAAAAUGGUCCAUCAACUGUUGCUUCAGUAUCAUUUUGGUCCACCAACUAAAAUUUUCAUUUGAACUGUCCUUCUACUUCUUUUUUUUUUCUUUUUUUUUUGUUAUCAAGAUGGUCCUACUAUCAAAGUCCAUCAAUUUUAUUGUUAUUUAAUUUUGUAUUUAUCUUAUUUUAAAAUUUUUAAUUAAUUUAAACAAUAGAGAAAUAAAUAUUACUUUUUAAGUCCAUGUCAUAAAAUAAAAAAAGCCAUGUUGGUGGUGAGAUUCAAUUUUUUCAAUUUUAAAAUUAGGUACAAGUUCCUAUAAUAGUUUCCUUUAAUUUUAAUUAUUAUUUUCUCUUUUAAAAAAUUUGUUAUUAUAUAUAUGUGAUUUUAAUUAAUUUAAACAAUAGAGAUUUUAUUAUUAAUUGUUAGGUCAGUGUCAUAAAAAAAAAAAAGCCAUGUGGCUAGUGAGAUUCAAAUUUUUAAAAUUUUUUAAGUUUUAUAAUAGUUUCCUUGAUACCAAAAAAAAAAAAAAGAGUUGAAGGAUGGUUCAAAUGAAAAUUUUAGUUGGUGGACUAAAAUGAUACUAGAGCAAUAGUUGGGGGACCAUUGUGAUCAAUAACCCUUUUAGAAGAGGAUACUCACCUAAAAAUACGGUUUUGUCCCUCGAUUUCACGGAAUAAUACACAGACUUUGACAGAUGGACCAUCUUGGUACAAAAUAAAAAGUUUAAGGACGUUUGAAUUGAAAAUUUUAGUUGGUGGACCAAAAUGAUAAUGGGAGCAAUAGUUGGGGGGACCAUUUAGGGUCAUUAACCCAUAUAAAAUCGUUAAGGGUAAUGUUAUACUAGAUCCCGAGUCUAUGCAUUUAGAGUCCACGCAUUUACCCGUAUUUGACUUCAUAUCAACCAUUACAAAGAUCCAACGACUUAAAAUAUGAUAGAUCAUUAUUACAUCAUAAAGUUUUAUUUUUCUAACUGACGUUACUGUUACCAUUUCCUCAAAGCCUUUCUCCCUUGCUUGUUCUCUUCCCUCUCUAAUCUCUCUCAAUUUUUGCUUCUCAUGAAUAUCUACUACCCAGCAUCAUAAAUUGAAUUUCCUAUUUUUAGUACAAUUUCAAUCAAUUCCCCCAUUGCCAAUUGGUUUUGGAGUGUAACCUCAACUUCCUUCACUUAUGUCCUCAGGCUCUCUCCAGUUUGUAUUGUUUGCUUUUUGGGUUUUGUGUAGGUGAAGGAAGUUGAUAAUUGAGUCUGAGAGCGUUUAUGGUGGCGAGAAAGCUUUGUUUCAAUGGAUGUUCUUUUUUUGCAAUGUCUGUUGAUUUGGCUUCCUCGUUUUUAGAGAGACAGAGUUAAUGGAAGGACUAAUGUUAGUUUAGGGAAGAAAAAAAAAACUAAAUUUCAUAACCGACACGUGGUAUAAAAUGUAGAGAUGCCAUAUUAUGUGAUAUAAAAAUGUGGUAAGACUAAUAUUAUUGUAACCGUAAUCAUAUGAUUCAAACUUGAAACCUCAUUCAACUAAGUGAAGACAACUACCCAAAAAAUCAUAAACUAAUUGACAUAAAAACUAUUUAUUAUAAACAAAUUUUGAAUCCAUAUUUUCUGUUAAAUAUAGAUGUAGGACUAGGGUUAAGUAUUAAGUUGGAUGAUAUUUUUGUCUUUUUACUAUAAUUAUUCUCUCUGCUGCUACGGGAUGGGUUAAGGCCUCCCUUGCUGCUGUGAUUAAGGUGGAUAAGGUGCAUUCUUUUAUCUAUUGGAAACCUCCUCGCCCUGCUCAGUUUAAACUUAAUGUUGAUGGGUCUAGAUGCACUUCCUCUGGAUGUAUUGGGGCUGGGGUUGUGAUUCGUGAUGCUUAUGGGGGCGGAUUGGUGGUUUUUCAGUGCACCUUGGCCACAGACAUAUCUUGGAUGCUGAAAUUUGGGGGUUAUAUUUUGGCCUUAAGCUUGCUGUGACUAAGGGUAUAAGCUGCCUUAUUAUUGAAAUGGAUGCUGCUGUGGUUGCCCAACUAGUCAAGAAUAUUGAUGGUCUGGCUCACCACCCCUUUGCUUUACUGAUUAAUGUUUGCUGUGCUCUCAUGCAACAAUUUGCAAAUAGUUGCACUCUCCUUCAUAUUUACAGAGAAGGAAAUUGUGUGGCUGACGGUUUGGCAAAUUGGAGUUACAACUUAGACCUGGGUAUCCUUUAUUUUAAUGAAGCUCCAAAUGUGUCAUAUCUUAAUUCAUUAGAUUAUUAGAACGAUGGGUAAAUGCACACUAUCUAAAUGCAGAGGCUCAGAAUCCGCCUAGUUUAAACUUUUAAGCUAUUUAUAUAUAUAUAUAUAUUUUAUAGAGAUGGACCAAUCAUAUUGAAUUAAAAAAUAACUAUAGUAUUUAUGAUUCCCUAAACUAUGGAGUAUGAUUAGAGUUCAAAUUUGGUAGAGAACUCCUAAAAUAACUUUUAUGUGUUUUUAGCUAAAUUUUAGACACACAAAACUGACCACAUUAGCCGACCACCUUAUGUGGCAGCUGAUGUGGUCAUGCCAUAUUUUUAUCUCACAUUUCCAUACCACAUAAUGUGGCAUGUCCAUAUCAUAUGCCACAUCAAUUAAAUCAAUAGAGUGUAUUUUAAUUAAGACAAUUAGAAAAAAAAAUACUGGAAUAAAUCAUAAAAGAAAAGAAAAUAUUAAAUACUUUUAAUUGAUGUGGUUAUCCACCUCAGCUGCCACAUAAGAUGGUAUAAGGAUGUAGUAUACAAAUAUAGUAAGAGUAGCAUUAUUCUUUCAAUAUAGUAAUCAUCGUUUAGAGAAAGAGUAAGGCUACACUUACUAUAUUUUUAUACCACAAUCCUAUACUAUAUGAUGUGGCAAUCCACAUAAUUAAGCUGACACGUUAAUAAAUUGUGAUAAAAGGUAUUUAAUAUAUUAUUAAUAAUAAUAAUUAAUAUAAUAUAUUAUUAAUUCAACAAACAAUUUAGGGUUAAGUCUUUAUUUAUUUAUUUAGUUCGCAUAAUAGGGUUAAGCCUUUUAUUGAUGUUCUAUUAUGUUCGUCUCUUUCUCUUGCCAGUUUUUUGGUCGGCUUGUUAAUAAAUCACCUACUGUUUUUUUUUUUUUUUAAAAGAAAAAGAUUUCAUUCAUAAGCCAAAACGGCAUACAAAGACUGACAUUAAUUCAUUAGCCUCAUUAAUACCUUCAUAGGAAAACCACUUAGGAUAAACCCCAAGGUAGGAAAGAGUACCACCUAUGUCAAUGACUAACAAGAGAGUUUGACCCAGACCACAAAAGACAGUUACAAGAACAGAAAAAAAAAUCCAACUAAACACCAACAGAGUGGACUCAACUGUCAAAAGAAGCCUUCUAUGAAAAAAACUCUUAGUCCUUUGACUGCCCAUGAACUGCAAAAACACACCAAGGAUAGAAACCCAAGAGAGCAUACGGAGGAAGAGCACAAAAAAAUAACAAGAGAGGCCCUGAAAAGCACCCCAACUCAACUUAGAACCUGACAAAGAAACUUCUAUGACCAAACAUAGGUCUUCGGGCAGCGCAGAGCAGAGACGAGCUGCAAAGGAGCAACAUAACAAUGGAAAAUGACAGCAAAACAGAACACAUCCCAACAACUACCAUCAGUGUCUGUCGCUGCCAUCAAAACAUAGACAAAACAUUAGCCACCAGGUAUCACAACGCUCCCGAAAAAAGAUCAAAUCCAGCGUCACUACUGCUGCCGUCAUCGAGACAGAGACAACACCAGCCACUUACACCACUGCAAAAACAACUAAAUAAAACAAACAGACCUAGAUCCAAACAUAUCAAGGCUAAAAACCCAAGAUCUAAUUAGAUUUGGGAGGAGAAGAGGAAGGGGAUAGAAGGGCCAGCAAGAGCCCCUAGGAAAGUGGGAAGAGAGGGAGAGAGGAGGAAAUGGAGGGAAAAAGAUGGGAAAAGAGGAGAUGAAGGGAGAUGAUGGGCAGUGGCCACCUCCCAUAGCUUAGGAAAGGGUGGUUGUCGGCAAGGAGAAAGAGGGAGGGUUUUGGCUAGGGUUUACUUUGCUAUCUCUUUUGCGUAGCAAUAAAUCACCUACCGUAGGAGUUGCAUAAAAUCCGAUUGCAAAUCCUAGAACUCCCAAAAUCAGAUCGAAUCGUGGCUUAAUUAGCAUCUAUAUGGUCAUAAACAGAUGAAAUCAUGGGUAUUGAAAAAUGAUAAUGAUAUAUCAAAUCUCCUAAAAUCAUCCUUGUCGGUAGAGAAGUUUCAGCGUUGUUCAACAAUUGAAGAUGAGGGUAACACAUUUAAUUCAUUAAUGAUAAGAGCAUUUUAAUACAUAUAACUUGUCUUCCCUAAAAUUACUCUUGCUAGCAUUUUAUUUAGCUUACUUUGCAUUAAUUAUGUUGUUUUUGUCAAUUGGGGUGUUUUGGAAGAUUUCAAUAAAAAAAUAAGGAUAUUUUAGUGCUUAUUAUUCUUGAAUUUGCACAUGGCAGCAACUUUGGGGAGCCAGCAGCUAGAGGAAAUCAUUCAUGUGUGCAGCGAAUGAAAGGCAAUAGGAAUUAAAAAAGAUGGCAAGACUUGCUACACCUUCUGACCAAGGAAGAAAACCCACGUGCGCGAGCAGCCAAAGCCAAAGUAAUGUGUGCAGCAACAAAUGAAAAAGAAAAGGAAAAAGUAUAAAGAAUGAUGUUGGCUGACAAAAGAUAUGAAAUUCAAAUGCCAAUAUGCCUACACGUGAUGAGCAGAGAAAGAUGAAGAAAAGAAAGAGGAAUGGCAGCAGCAAGUUGAAGACCAAUUGGAAGACAUAUGAUGUACAGCAGCCAAAAGAAGAAUGAAAAUGAAAAUAAUGAGAAAGAAUGUUGAGCUGCAGCUUACACGUGAAGAAAGCAAAGGAAAGCAUGGGUAUUUGUGUUCAGCCAAAAGAAGAAGGAAUAAAGCGAUGUUGAUGUAAUAUAACCCACGUUGGUGAUGGGUUAAUGGCAGCUGCAAGAGGAUCUCAUUCCUCUAUAAAUACAGAGCAAUGCAAUGGAAGAGGUGUGCAGAAUUUGGGCACCAAAUAGAGAUAGUGUAGUCCAGUGGAGAAAAGACCCUGGGGAGCAGAGAGGCAAGAAACCAGGGGCAUCUGCCAUUUUAGUUUUUCUUUUUUAAGUUUUCAGCUAGUUUAUAGGGAUAAGGAAAAUGCCAAUAUAAUUGGAGAGAACCUUGGGGAGUCGUGAGGCAACGAUCCAAGGGAUUGAUGAUGCAGUUUCUCCUUCUCUUCCAUGUUUUAGUUUUAUUUCUUCUUUGAGUUUUCAUAUUGUUUUUAUUUUCACUUAUAUCUAGCUAAACUCCUUUAUUAAGGUUGAGGGGGAAACACCAUUAUGAAAUAAAGUUUUAGUUUUUAUUUUUCAAUUCCCAACUAUUAUAUUCUUCAAUGUUUAUAAUUUCACUUCACAUGAUUAAUAAAUUAAUUUUCUUUUCACCACUUCGAUCGUGUAUUUGUGGUAGUUCAGAAUUUAAGUUAAUCUAUUAAUGCAUCCUUGAUUUUGUAUUACUAGUAUACACAUAUCUUCGAUCAUUUGUAGUUAAAUAAUAUUUUUCACAUAGGAUGUUCAGAAUUUGUACUUAUGAAGGGAAGGGGAAUUUAUAUAAGAGAAUUUAUAUAAGAUUCAUUAAAAUGCAUGUUUAAUUGAUAUAUCUUGAGAAAGCAGUAAAUUGAUUCCUAGAUUGCUACUCCAGAGAAUUGUUAGAUAGAUAAUUAGAGUUUUAUAGAAUAAUGGCGUGUAAUCUAAAACCUUAGUUAUUUUUCUCAUUCAUUUAAUCCAUUCUAGUUAUUAUUUGCAUUUUUAAUUUUUAUGCUUUAUUUAAUUUUCUUUUCAACCAACAAAUCAACUUUGAAUCAACUAGGUUAGCGAUUGAAUUAAAUUGGGUUGGAUUAGUUUCCAUCAUUUUCACACAAGUAUUAUAAAUUUAAAACAACACAUUUGGGUGGACAACAAGUUUAAAGUAUUUAUAAAAUAAAGCAACAUUAUUUAUAGAGAACCAAUAUGAGUUCUUUCUCUUUUCUUGGAUUUAGGAGCUCCUAAAAGUCUCUCUAUUUUAGAAGGUGGAUAGGGAGCAUGAUUGAAGUUGUAUUUUUCAUAUUCCUCUUUAAAAUUUGUCUAAAGAUAAGGGGAACAAGAUUUGUUAUCCCCAAUUUUCAUGUCCCAUUGUGUUCCUUUUUUAAAAUUUUAACACCUGUCUAAAUAAUUGACAAAACUUUAACACUGUCAAGUUUUAUUCAAAAACCCUAAUAAAUAUAAACAUCGUAAUAGCUCUUCUUCUUCACUUUUAAUCUUCUCUUCACAGCCAAACAUAUCCAAAUUAUCUCAAGGAAGAACCACCACAUAGCUACCAAUGCGAAUCCCUUGUAACCAACCAAAAUCGUUCAUCUUUCCCAUAUGGGAUGAGAUUCAGAAGGUUCUUCAUAGCUUUGAAGUUGAUGACGGCGGAAGAAGACGUAAGCACCUUUGAAAUUGCAACAAAAGCAUACUGCAGAUUUUUCUUGCUAGAAGAUUUGAAAUUAAUGUUUUGUUUUUUGUUUUUUUUGUUUUUUUUUUCACAAAAGAUGGUAUUUCAUUCAACCGAAUUAUGGAAAUAUAUAGAAAAAGAAAAAUACAUUAAAUGUUCGGUAUUUUUUUGCUCAAUUAGUGAUUUUGAUUAAGAUUGAAAAGUAUUAUUUAGACAGGUGUCAAAAUUUUAGAGAAUAAGGAGCUCGCAUUUUCCUUACUUCAAGGCCCAACCUCACUAUUUCAUCUUUGAUCGACGAGUAAUUAUCUAUAUAUAUAUAAAGCAAAAGGUAGAGAAUGGUGAAACAUUUAAAUUACCAGAAAAUGUCCAUAGUUAAUGCAAAUAUUAAGAAUUGAAAUUAUUAAUUAAAUGAGAAUAAUAUGGUAAAUUCACAUUUUUCAUAUUAAAAAAAUUAAAAUUAAAAGAAAAAUCAGAUAAUGGAUCCUAUUUUUAUGAAACACAACUACCCAUUAUUUUUUUUAAUUCUAAAAUAAAUUUAAAUUUAUUGAAAAAAAACCUCUUGCAGGCGCGGAAGCGCUUGUGGAGAGGCUAGUAUUACAAUUAUUAACAUAAUCUAUACCACGUUCCACUAACUUUAUACCACGUCUUUUAAUUUGAUUUUUUCCUCUACUGAUUCAGUGUUACUGUAUAUUACAUAGACACAGUAUCAUUAAUAAUUUGACAAUAUUGUACCGAUAUUUGAUAUAUCGAUCAAAUGUCAAUAAUGUGGUACAAAAUAUUGUAAAUUGUUACCAAUUGGUACGAGUACACCAAUUUACAACACUUGAUACAAUGUUAUUGAUAUAAUUAACAUUGUACUAUGUCAACAAUAUUGUACAAAGUAUUUGCAUGGCGUAAUGUUAUUUGCUAAAGAUAUUUCAAAGAAGCUAACAAGGGCAUUGCUUUGUAAAUCAGUGAUCUCAAGUUCGAACCUUAUGGCACAUUUGUAGUAUGUGCGUGAGAACAGAACAUUUGUAGUAUAGUUGGUCAUCCAAAUAAAAUGAAACCAUAGUUAGCCCAGAUAACAAAACUAUUGUUAAGCACUAACAAAAAGCACCUCCAAACUCAAAUCUUUUCACAAAAGGCAAAAUGAGAACAAAAUCUACAUCAAAUAUUUCAAAAUCAACUUCUCAAACCAAAACAUAACUACAAAAGUGAAAAAAGAAUCUAAUCUAGAAAACACAUACCUCACCAGAUGAAAAACAGAGCUUUGCGUGAGAAGAAGGAAUAUGAGAGAGAGAGGGUGUCAUCAUAGAUGAAGCAAAUAAGGAAUAGGAGAGAGAGAUGGCAUCGUUAUGUCGUCGAUGGAGCGAAGAAGGAAGAUGAGAGAGAGGGCGUCGUCGUCGAUGAAGUUAAUAAGAAAAAUGAGAGAGAGAGAGAGAGAGAGAGAGAGAGAGAGAGAGAGGCUGAGAUCUGGUUUUAAACAAAAGGGUAAAAUUAUAUUCCACCUUUAUAAUUUAGACAGGUCCAAUGAAUAUGGGCCUCUUAUUUAGGCAUAUCCAAAACAAAAUUUGAUUCAUAGGUAUUAAAACCCAAACAAAAAUUUCUCAAAUCCUAAUUAGUAAAGAUUGUAAUGCCUAAUACCUAAUUUUUCUUAACUUUUAGGAUAAUGCUAUAUGGCACAUUUUUAAUACCAUCUCACCUGGCAGUUGAGGUCGACAUUCAACUCAUUUAAAUUAUAUGUAUAUAUUUUUUAAGAUAUCAGUUUCUUAUAAUUUUCAUUAAUUCAAAAACUUAACCCUGGAGACUUUUCAAUUUCAUGUUAUCUGUUGGCCUCCCUAAAUUCACUCUCUUCCUUUGCCGUCGAUUCGCCACAUCUUCUGUCACAUUCCGGGAUCGGCUCCGCCGUAGCAUGAUAUUGUCCUCUUUGGGCCCCCCUCUCUGCCCUAACGGUUUUGUUUCUGGCCCCAACUCGCUUAACUUCAGAGUUCCCAUGACUUCGAAGCCAGUGAGCUCCCAAAAGGCCUCGUGCUAGAUGAAGGUGGGCAUGUACAUAUAAGGCACAUCACCCCCUCUCCAUUGGUCGAUGUGGGAUGUUAUAAUCCACCCCCCUUAGAGGCCCGAUGUCCUCGUCGGCACACUAGCACCACACAGCAGAGUGACUCUGAUACCAAAUUGUCACAUCCCGGGAUCGACUCCAUCGUAUCACGAUAUCGUCCGCUUUGGGCCCCCCUCUCUGCCCUCACUGUUUUGUUUCUGGGAACUCACGAGCAACUUCCCAGUGGGUCACCCAUCCUGGGAUUGCUUUAGCCCCAACUCGCUUAACUUCGGAGUUCCCAUGAUUCCAAAGCCAGUGAGCUCCCAAAAGGCCUUGUGCUAGAUGGAGGUGGGCAUGUACAUAUAAGGCACAUCACCCCCUCUCCGUUGGUCAAUAUGGGAUGUUACAGCUCCACUCCCUCCACCUUUAAUUUUUUGUUAGUCCACCUUUGAGCUGAUGUCUAUAGUCUAUGGUCAAUGGUCAGUCCCGGCCCUGCCCAGGGGCAGUUAAUGCGACUGCCCAGGGCCCAUUAUUCAAGGGGGCCCCAAAUUUUUUUAAUUAUGAUAAGUGUUAUAUUAUAUUAUUAUAAAUUGAUUUAAUAUUUUUCCAUAAUUUUUAGGAAUAAGAUAUUGAGAUGAAUCUGAAAUUUUGGAACAAAGGAUCCAUGACGAGAGUUUUAAAAGAAAUUCUUUGAUAUUGGCUUGACUUGCAUUCUUGAAAUUCUUUGACUCACUGGUAUGGUAUCCAUAGUUGGACAUUUGUUUUCAUUAUUUAGGAAUAUGGAAGACAUUGCUCAAAGUCUAAAAGUAUUUUCAAAUAAAUACUUUCUCAAAAAACCCAAUGCUUAGUUGAUAAAACAAGAAGUAUACUAGUAUUAGUGAUUAAUGUGUAUAUGGCACACUUUAGAUUUUCGCCUUAGGCCUUUGAAAACUCAGGACCGGCCCUAUCAAUGGUAGGGUCAUAACACUGCUCCUUGCAUCACCAGCUCCGACCACCUCUAUUACCUCUCAUAGAAAGAUGGAUGAUGUUGAUCAUGAUAUGGGUCUUGAUCAAGCAGAUUUGUAGUUGUGAUAACAUGUGUACUGACCAAAAAGCCAAGGAGGAGAAAGCCUUGCAACGGCGAAGAGGCAAUGGAUCGGCUACAUAGGUCUGGCAGAGUGUCGCCGAUGGAGAGGAGAGGAAGUAGGGAGAGAUGGAAUUGGGGGAGGUCGACAAACAACGUGAAAACUAAAGAGUCUCUAAUCCAGUAGGGUUAGUUUUUUUAAUUAAUGAAAAUAAUAAGAAAUUGAUAUGUCAAAAAAAAAAAACUAAUAUAAUUUUAAUGAGACUACUACAAAAAUUGAAAUAGACGACGGUGUCUUUGAAAACCGUUUUUAAUUCGACCACAAUCUUUUGGAAUGUCAAACUACGACGGUGAUUAACCGUCGUCUAUUAUUUGUAAAGACGACAUUUUUACUCAAAACUGUCGUCUAUUAAAGACAACGGUUUGUCUAAUAGAACCGUUGUUUAUUAUAUCGAAAGACGUCGGAUUUACUGUCGUCUAUUAAUUGAAAAGACGACAAUUUCUUUAAAUAUUGUCAUCUAUUAACUCUAAGACGACUGUUAUUAAUUGUAAAACUGACGUAGUAAUUUUAAAUUUUAGCUUCUUUUUUUCUUGUUUCCAAUGGUAUCAGAAAUCUAUACUCAAAUAUGCUAUUACCACACCAGACAUAUAUAUAUAUAUAUACUCAAAAAUUGUUUCUUUCAUAAAUAGUAUAUCAAGAGAACAAUAGAACAAAAUAAAAUCUAAAAAAUGAAAGCACUCUAGGGUCGCUAGUUGCUAGCUGCAAGCUACAAGCCUAAUUACAAUAAUACACAAAAAUUCAUAUACCUAAUUAUCCUUUAAGUCAAGUUCUCCAUGUGUAUAUAGAGCAAUACACUCAUCAUCACCAAUUUUCCUCUGCAUUCUAUCUGAACUUCAUCACUUUGUUCUUGGGUGUGUGAGUUAUCUACCUUCUUGCACAUUUUUUCAUAGGCACAAUAAGACACAAGCUUGUACAAAAAAUUAGUGAUUUUACAGCAAGAAAAUAGUUAGGUCUUCGCUCGAAGUGAAAGCCAAUAAAAACAAAACAUUACACCAAUAAAUAAAUGAGGGCCUAUAUAGCAUAAAACAUGGUUAACAUAACUAAUUUAUUAUUAUUAUUAUUAUUUUGAAAAAGAUGCUUUGUUUAAAAAUAAUAAGCACCACAAAAGUGUACAAAAGAUAGUAUUGAAAUAAUUAAUAUUAUCUAAAAUUUAAGCAUGAGAAAAAAGAAUAAAGGGAAACAACAAGAAAAAAAAAAGAAAAAAAAGAAAGAAGAGAAAGCCUGAACACCCCCCUUAGUUCUGCCCAUCAAAGAAAAGAAAACUAUAUAUUCAUUAUUCAUACCUUGUUUACCGACUACAAUUUCUUUUUGUUGGAUCAUAUGUUUACCGACUAUAUUGUAGACCGCUUUUGUAAUAGUACGAGAUGGUAUCAAAAGUAAGCAUGCAUGCAUAUGUCCUGAUUAUUUUAUGUUGUCCAACAUGUAGCACUGGAUGACGGCAAGAAAUCAUAAACAUUAAAUUAACCUACUCUUGGCAAAAGCUAUAACAGUAUAAACGAAAGUAUAUUUGUAUCAGAUUCUUUUCAGCGUACACAACACAGAUUUUGUGUUCGUCAGUCCACAGCUCUUGCUUGAUUCUAGUGUCUAGUGUGCUGAGUGGAAAGAUGCACAGCUAGUUUAACUUGUUGUCCACCCAAAUGUGUUGUUUUAAAUUUAUAAUACUCGCAAGCAUACAAAUCGACUGUAGAAUAGGCGUGUAUAAGUGUGACAGGAAGUGUGUGAAAAUGAUGGAAAACUAAUCCAACCCAAGUUAAUUCAAUUACUAACCUAGUUGAUUCAAAGUUGAUUUGUUGGUUGAAAAGAAAAUUAAAUAAAGCACAAAAAUUGAAAAUACAAAUAAACUAGAAUAGGGAUUAGAUGAAUGAGAAAAAUAACUAAGGUUUUAGAUUUCACACCAUUAUUUCAUAAAACUCUAAUUAUUUAUCUAACAAUUCCCAUGGAGUAACAAUCUAGAAAUCAUGUUAUUGAUAUAAUUGAAAAUUUUACUCUAUCAAUAAUAUUGUACAAAGUAUUUGCGCGGUGUCAUGUUAUUUGCUAAAGAUAUUUCGAAGAAGCUAAUAAGGGCAUUGCUUUGUAAAUCAGUGAUCUCAAGUUCGAAUCUCAUGGCACAUUUGUAGUAUGUGCGUGAGAAAUCCUGUCUUUCUUGUAAUUUAGACUAUCGCUUAAUUGUAUUUGAAAAACUUAGAUAUUUUGAAGAAAAUAGAACAUAAAUUAAAAGGGGAAGAAAAGCGUAGUUUAUAUAUAAUAACAACACAAAUGACACCGGAUGCUUUACAUGAGAAGAGCACAUUACUACUGCUAUAGUCGAAACCGAUCCGUACAUCACAGUGACAUUACAAGAAAUUAAACACACAUAACACAUCUCUUAUUCUACGUAAUGACAUGAACUUAGCAAGCUAGUCAUUCAUGCAUGCAUGAUCAGAGCUAGUCAUUCAUGCAUGCAUGAUCAGUUUCAGUUGGGAAAUGGAAGUUUGUGAGGUGGCUUGACAGGGCCAGUUGGGGGCUUUAGUUUCCUCGGUGGCUUUGAUGGGUCUCUUCCACCCUCCACCACAUUCUGUUCAAGAUGGCGAUCGUGAUGAGGUGGCUUGUCUCCCUUGCCCUUAGGAGGCUGAUCAACUGGCUUGGGCUCUGGCUUGGGCUCUGGGAAUGGCUUGUGCUCAUCAAGUGGGGUUGGUGGCUUGGGUUUUGUGGGUGGCUUCGGCUUCUUUCCCUGAGGAGGCAAUUUCCCAUCCAAUGGCUCCUCUAGCAAACGAGUUCUGGUUUCUUGUUUGUGAUGAGGCGGUUUCUCACCCUUUGGAGGCUGAUCAACUGGCUUUGGUUCUGGCUUGGGCUCUGGCUUGGGCUCUGGGAAUGGCUUGUGCUCAUCAAGUGGGGUUGGUGGCUUGGGUUUUGUGGGUGGCUCCGGCUUCUUUCCCUGAGGAGGCAAUUUCCCAUCCAAUGGCUCCUCUAGCAAACGAGUUCUGGUUUCUUGUAUGUGAUGAGGCGGCUUCUCACCCUUUGGAGGCUGAUCAACUGGCUUUGGUUCUGGCUUGGGCUCGGGCUUGGGCUCUGGCUUGGGCUCUGGGAAUGGCUUGUGCUCAUCAAGUGGGGUUGGUGGCUUGGGUUUUGUGGGUGGCUUCGGCUUCUUUCCCUGAGGAGGCAAUUUCCCAUCCAAUGGCUCCUCUAGCAAACGAGUUCUGGUUUCUUGUUUGUGAUGAGGCGGCUUCUCACCCUUUGGAGGCUCGUCGUUGCCCGGGUUUCCUUUGUGCUCUGGUGGUGGCUUCUCUCCUUUUCUUGGUGGCUCAUCUCUUGGGUGUCCUGGUUCAUGCUCAGGUGGUGGUUUCUCUCCUUUUCUCGGUGGCUCAUCUCCCGGGUGCUCAGGUGGUGGCUUCUCAUCCUUGUGAGGCUCAUCACCUGGUUUCUCCUUUGGUGGUGGCUUUUGUCCCUUAGGAGGCUCAUUGUUCUCUGGUGGAGGCUUUUUUCCCUUUGGAGGCUCAUUGUUCUCUGGUGGAGGCUUCUUUCCCUUUGGAGGCUGGUCAUUGCGCUCUGGUGGUGGCUUUUGUACCUGGGGAGGCUGGUCAUUGCGCUCUGGAGGUGGCUUUUCUCCCUUGGGAAAUUGGCCCUCCACCUCUAACAAAUGGUGUUCGUUGUGGGGUGGCUUGUCAACUGGUGGAGGCUUGUAAAUUGGGGGUACGGAAAUUGGAGGCUUGUAGAUUUGUGGCUUUGGGUCAUGGUUAUCAGCAAGAGAAGGAGUUGUGGUGGUGAAAGCCACCACUCCAAGAAGAAACACUAGCAAGUAUUUGGAAGACAUCUUUGGGCUCUUAGAAGCUUUGGGAUGAUUUGAAACUAGUAGAAGCCAGUGGCUUUUUAUAGUAAUAUGGGAACACUGUCGUCCUGACACGUGUCGUUUUGCAUCUGGAAUUUUUAAUGAAGUUAGUGGACUCAAUGGUGUUUUGUAUUGUUGGUACAAUUUAUAAAUGAAUUGGGGUCCAUUUGGGUCCUCAGGAGUUGAAAAGUUUGACAAUUUGCUAUGUUCAUACCUGGUGGGGACCUGAAUGAAAGCUUUGCACGACCGAGUGUUCACAACUCACAUGCACAAAUAUCAGUGACCUGGAGUACCUGGUGCACCUACUUCAAGCUCACUGGUUAUAGAUAGUGUUUUAACUUUUAAAAAGACUACGAAAAAUAGAAAAUCAUUUAUAAUAACUUAUUUUUGCAUGUGUGAGCAUAGCCAAUUUCUUUUUUUUCUUUUUUUGAAACAGAUGAUAAUAGGCACUAUACUAUAAGAAUGUAUAAAAAAUAACACUAAAAUAAUCAAUACUAUCUAAAACUUAAGUAUGAAAGAUAAGAAUAAAUACGUGAUUUUAAAAGAGACUCGCGCUUGAACAACUCAAAGAAAAACAACAACAACAAAAAAAGGAAAAAAAGAAGCAGAAGCAUGUUCAUACCAUGUUUACUGCAUAUAUAUAUAUAUAUAUAUCUAUCAAAAUGUUUACGUACUAUAUUGUAGACCGCUUUUGUAAUAUUACGAGAUGCUAUCAAAAGUAAGCAUGCAUGUAUAUAUCCUUAGUAUUUUAUGUUAUCCAACAUGUAGCACCGGAUGAAGGCAAGAAAACAUUAAAAGUCCGUUUGAUAAUUAUUUUAAUUUUAAUUUUAAUUUUUUAUUUUUUGUACUGGUAUAGAGAAAAAAAAGGGAGAAUAGAAGUGAGAUUGAGAUGGAAUAUGAGAACAGAGAAUGAGAGAGAGGAAUAACAAAAAUGAAAACAAAAACUAAAAACUGAAAUCUAUUUGAAAUUAUUUUCACUUUUGUUACUCGUCUCUCCCAUCUUCUCUCUCAAUCUCAUCCUAACUCUCAUUCUCACUUUCUCACUCUCAUUUUCCUCUAUACUCUAGCAAAAUUAACUAACUUUCGGCAAAAGCUAUUAUAUUGUUUUCAGCGUACACAACACAGAUUUUGUGUUCGUCAGUCCACAGCUUUUGCUUGAUUCUAGUGUCUACUGUGCUGAGUGGAAAGAUGAACGGCUAAUUUAGCUCAUUUCUUUUUGUUUUUUGUUUUAAUUAUAUAUCAAUACUACUAGCUAGCUAGCCCACAAUGGGAUUUCUCCUUUUCCCACUUGGGAUUUGUAUUUAAUUGCAACUUGUUAACACGAUCGAUCAUGUGAAUUGCUUUCAAUUAUAAUAAAAACUAAAGUGCCCUUCAAGUUUGGCCAAGAAAUACUUGUGCGUGCACGUGCAUAUGGUUGGCAUGGUGUGUUCACAACUCACAUGCACAAAUAUCAGUGACCUGGAGUACCUGGUGCAGCUACUUCAAGCUCACUGGUUAUAGAUAGUGUUUUAACUUUUAAAAAGCCUACGAAAAAUAUAAAAUCAUUUAUAAUAACUUAUUUUUGCAUGUGUGAGCAUAGCCAAUUUCUUUUUUUUUUUCUUUUUUUUUGAAACAGAUGAUAAUAGGCACUAUACUAUAAGAAGGUAUAAAAAAUAGCACUGGAAUAAUUAAUACUAUCUAAAAUUUAAGUCUGAGAGAUAAGAAUAAAUACGUUAUCUUAAAAAAGACUCGUGUUUGAACAACUCAAAGAAAAACAACAAAAAAGAAAAAGAAAAAAAAGAAGCGGAAGCAUGUUCAUACCAUGUUUACUAUAUAAAUAUAUAUAUAUAUAUAUAUAUAUAUUUAUCAAAAUGUUUACGUACUAUAUUGUAGACCGCUUUUGUAAUAUUACGACCACUGACGGACCCAGAAAUUUUUUAGCAGAGGUGCAAUAUUGACUAAGUAUGAAAAAUAAUUUUGGCGGCUUUUAUUCCUUACACAUCAAAUAAGAAAACUUGAUUUUAUGGGAUUUCAGUAUGAAGUAUAUAUUGACUUAAUGAGCUAUCAUUUUUAGCCUAAAUCGUAUUUUGCACUAUAACAAAAUUUUCAUAUUUUGAUUUGGUAGGAAUUUGAUUUUCUAGUAUUUUUAUUUGAAUCCAAAUGGGGGGUACUUCCUUAUUUAUAUUGUAAACUUAAGUAAAUGGAGUAAUAUAAAAAUAAAUAAAAGUAAAAAGACAAAGACAUUUACUUAAAUGUUGAAAUAGAAAUAAGGUAAUCUGUACACCAGUUGAGCAAAGGGACAAUUUGAAGCACCUACAAUAAUUUUUUCGGUUAGGGGAAAUGCAACACCUCCUUGCGCCUUACUAGGUCCGUCAGUGAUUACGAGAUGCUAUCAAAAGUAAGCAUGCAUGUAUAUAUCCUUGUUAUUUUAUGUUAUCCAACAUGUAGCACCGGAUGAAGGCAAGAAAACAUUAAGAGCCCGUUUGAUAAUCAUUUCAAUUUUAAUUUUUAGUUUUUAUUUUUAGUACUAGUAUAGAGAAAAAAGAGGAAGAAUGGAAGUGAGAUUGAGAUGGAAUAUGAGAAUAGAGGAUGAGAGAGAGGAGUAACAAAAGUGAAAACAAAAACUAAAAACUGAAAUCUAUUUGAAAUUAUUUUCACUUUUGUUACUCUUCUCUCCCAUCUUCUCUCUCAAUCUCAUCCUAACUCUCAUUCUCACUCUCAUUUUCAUUCUCAUUUUCCUCUAUACUCUAGCAAAAUUAACUAACUUUCAGCAAAAGCUAUUAUAUUGUUUUCAGUGUACACAACACAGAUUUUGUGUUCGUCAGUCCACAGCUUUUCCUUGAUUCUAGUGUCUACUGUGCUGAGUGGAAAGAUGAACGGCUAAUUUAGCUCAUUUCUUUUUGUUUUUUGUUUUAAUUAUAUAUUAAUACUACUAGCUAGCUAGCCCACAAUGGGAUUUCUCCUUUUCCCACUUGGGAUUUGUAUUUAAUUGCAACUUGUUAACACGAUCAAUCAUGUGAAUUGCUUGCAAUUAGAGAUGAUCAUUAUAAUAAAAAACUAAAGUGCCCUUCAAGUUUGGCCAAGAAAUACUUAUGCGUGCAUGUGCAUUUGGUCGGCUUGGUGAGAAGACUAUGUGAAGGCAUGAAAUAUUUGUAUACGAGUCAUCUGACUGCCUUCUCUUUUUUCCCUGAUAGCCACCAGGUGCGCCAAAAUUUUAUCACAUCACAUUACCAAUGCAUGGAUGCCGCGUUAUUUUGCAGAUAAUUUAUUAGUGGUCCCUUUCAUCGUUUGUUUACAUAGAGCAGUAAAGUCUUCAUUAUAGGAUAAGAUCCUUAAUUUGUUAAAGUCUCUGCCGACAUGUUAAUGUGUUAUCACUCAGUAAUUUUCAAACAUGUCGGCUCUAUUAUUGCCUCGGGACAAUGGCUCAGGAACCCUAGGGCGUAUAGAAUGGUUGCUUAACUUUAAGCAUAUCAUGUCAGUACGGUAUAGCUCAAUUAAUUUAGUUCUUCUACUCACAUUCAUGUGUGCAGAAUUUAAAAACCUAAAACACAUGCGGAUUUGUGUAUGGGCUAGAGUGGGCUCUAGCAUAGUACUAAAUUUAGAGAUGAAAAAAAUUAGUGUUAAUUGUAUAAAUAAAACCCAGGUGAAUAAAAAAUAGUCCACCCCUCUCCUCCUUUUUAAAAUUGUACCAAUCUAUAUUCAAUAGGUUCUUUAAUAUUAGUAAGAUUUCUCUUAAUUUUUAUUUAAUUUUCAAUUUCAAUUGUUAUUGUUAGCUUUUUAUGAUUUAGGGUUUAUGUGUUAAAUUUUGGGGUCUUUUUUCUUAUGCAAUUUGCUAGGAUUUUAUUGCUAACUCGUCCUUUUUUUUCUGAUUCAAUCUAUUCAUUACUUGAUCUAUGCUUUUAUAAUCUAGUUGUCUGUUGGUUUUGUUGAAUAUUUGUAGCUUGUGAUUGUGCAAUUGUAGAUCUAUAUGACUACACUCCCUACUACUUUUAUUACUUGAUCAAUUACAUUUGUUAGCCUUUAAUUAUCACGCUAUGUCACUUUAUUUAUUUUGAAAAAGAAAAAAGUAAUUGAGACCCCACUUGUGUAUUAUUUUCAAUGUACGAGGCCCAUAAUACUUUACCAAAAUGAUGCGAAAGAAGUUAUUUUCAGGCGUCGAGAAUGUACAUAACAAAGUUGCUUUAUGAGUAAAUGAACCCUAGGUUGGAUGACCUUAUAAUGUAACCACUACUAGUUCUGUUGUUGAAAAAACCAAACCAAUUCGGCUGAUAUCUCCAAUUGAUUGUACAAUUUGUCAAUGGGACACAUAGGCUUCCACAAGUCCCAGAAACUGACAAUGGACGUUCUUAACUUUUGAAAAACUUGUGAGCAGUGUAGGUGGGAAAGUCCUUCUGCAGUCAAUCAAUUCUUGAGAUUGAAAAGGAUCUAGCGAGCCCCAUAUGAUUUGUAAUCGUAUAGGAACAGAAAACAUCUCCACGGUCUAAAAUGAAUUUCUCAGUCCUCAAAAGUCGUAUAUGUUUGCUUUAGUUUUGACAUGUAGAUAAGAGUAGUGGAAACACAAAACCGUCCUUUGUCUUUUUGUGCCCAAUUUUUAUUGACCACAAAAGAAAUUAUGGAUAACCCAUUUUUGUCAUCAAGGACUAAAAGCUUCACUAAAACUAAAUAAUACAACCAAAACAACUAGUCUUCGAUGAUGUAAUGACGUGGUCUCGUUAAAAUCUUAUUUAAAAGAAAUGGUAUGAAUCCACAAACAAAGCUACAUUCAUUGAGCCCACAUUCUAAUUUUUAUUAAAAAUACCAAGAGGCUAUACAUAAUCCCAUUGAUUGAGACAGAACAUCUUGAAUUGUCGUUUACCACUGGAUCUUGCAAUUACGUCCCCAUACAUAAAAACGAACAGACUGGGCUGAACUGUAACGUAGUACUAUGCUGCAUAUACAUCGGUCCAAUAGGCAAUAGACACGUACAUCCAAAUUCUAUCAUAUUAUUAAUUGCCUUUAAACAUGUUUGCCACCACCAUGCAUGCAACAUUUACCAACAAAAGGUGGAUAUGCCAUCCGGUUAAUGCAGGAAAUUAGAUUGUCUUUAGUUUUGUACCUAUCUAAUUUGCAAUUACGUGUUGAUCUAAAACUCAGAUUGAUGCACCAUGCGUUGUAGAUAGAUCAGAUGUUAAUAGACCAUACGUGUUUAUCUUUUUUUCCCAGGGUCAUGAUGCUAGAUCUGUAUCCUAGAUUGUACGUCAAUCCCAUGGUCUUUUGCAAAUGGAGAAGCAAGACCACUGCGUAGAAAUUAAGAGAAGUUCUCAUCCUUGGUGCUUAUAAUAUUAUAAAGAAGUGUUAGGGUCAUCAAGAUUGUUGACAAGCUCAUAUGAUUUGUUAGUUUUUCAAUUUCACAUAUAACUUUCUAUAUGCAAAGGACUUCUAUCUCAAGUGGUAAGAGCAAUUAUCAUACACUUAAGGUCCUGUAUUCGAACUCCUCCCCUAAUAUUUUAGUUGCGACAAUAGAGAAAGUGAGAGUCGAACACACAACAACAAGUGAAAUGAUAAAUACUCUUAAUUACCUUAGUCACAAAUUUCACCUAAUAAUCCAACUUUUCAACUCGAUUGGUGGGCUACAAAUGGUCCGAUCACCCUAUAAUUUCUGUAUCUGUAACUUUCCCAAGAGAAUUUACAAACUUUGGUCUAUAUAGAAAUUAAGUGCACAAACACAAGUGUGCUGACAGUAUUGGCCUCCAGUCCUAUAAAAGGGCACACACUUACACCAAAUUUGUACCAUCCACAGUAUCAUUCACUAGCUAUACCUUAACAAUAAUGUCUCUCAAAUUCCUGCUGGUGGUGUCCCUGUGUGUGCUGGUUGUCACCACUUGUUCUCUUGCUGAUCAUGAUCACCAUAAACCACCACACAAUAGUUAUUAACCAAAACUGAUAUCUCACAUUGAAUUGUAUCACAAACUAGUUCAAUAACCAUGUAUAUAUUUUUUUGUUUUCUGGUUAUUGUAAUCUUAAAUUUCCAUCUUUGCUAUCGAAUCACGUUUGGCAUCAACAGAUUCAAUACUGGUUUAAGUGUGAGUCUAAAUAUUUAUAUAGUGGGAUAACUAGUGAAAAUGAGUUCACAAUAUCCAUCCUUAAAUACAAAGAAACUGAAGAUUUUACAUCUUCAGGAAUAUUCGUCAGCUUGUGUAGAAAAGCAUAUGCUAAAGAGUAGCUCAAAGUAGAGGUGUCAAAUAGAUUAGGCUAGCCUGAGCACAUCAUGAGUUCAGUUCAAUUAAAUAAAACGCAAUACACUAUGUUUUGUAUUUUUAGAUGGAUCAAAAUGACCCAAUUCAAUUCAAUUGGCCGAGUCGGCCAGAGACCCGUUGUGGGUCGUGCUGGCCUAAAGUCCAACGGGCCGGCCCAUUUAAAUUUGACAAUGGAAGCUACGAAUACGGGGUUCAACAGAAAAAAAAUUCCCCAAUCUUACUGCCUAUGAGCAGUGUGAGUUAAAUGAUCAUUACAUCACCAAUUAUGUCUUUGUCAUGGACUAACUGGUGGACAUUGUGACGGAUGUGGAAUUGUUUCCUGAGAGUGGAAUCCUUGAAUCUAAGCUACUAGAUUGCGAAAAAACAGCAAAAUUUAUUAACUCCUUGACUUCGACAUUAUUCAAUUCAGUAGAAAAUCUUAUUUCGCCAAUCUUUGCGACGAAUUGAAUAACUACUAUAAAGAGCGUUGGCACCAUUGGAAGUAGAGUGUCAAACAGGUCGGGCCGGCCCAAGCAAGGUAUGAAUUUGGGCUGACUGUGUACGGCUUGACACAACAUGACUAGUAUUUUUGGGUGGGCCAUGAUGAGGAAAUUUGGUCCAAUGGGUUAAGCCUACUCGAAGCCCAACGGGCCGGCCCAUUUAAAGCUCAUUUAUUAAAUUAUAUUUAUUUUAGAGAAAAUUAUUACAUAAUAUUAUUAUAUUUGUAUAUUAAAUUCAAGUAUGUUUCUUUUUUCUAAUAAUAUAUUUUAAAAUACAAUGUUUUUUCUUUAUAAAUAAAAUCAUUAUUUUUAUUUUUCAAUUUUUUAAACCGAACAAUAAUCUAGUUAUUUUCUAUUUUAAUGUACUUCAAAUAAGUCAUUCGCUUUUUUUUUUUUUCAACAAAUAAUAAAUCUUGUUAGUAUAUACAUAUUUAUAAAUAAAAUAUAAAUAAAAUUGACAAAAAAAUGCAAUUGACACCUCAAGCUCAAAUGUAACAGACAAAAGGAGAGUAUAAAUGGCUGAUCAACUUGGCGAAAUAGCUAGGGAUAGAAAGGGGAAAGGGCUAAACUUAAUUAGGUAGCAAAAUGAAACUUGGCAACGAUAACAAUAAUAGAAAAGGAAAAGGGGAAAGGAAGGAAGUAAAAAGUUAGAAAACACAAAGAAAAAGCUAACACUAAUAUAUUCAAAAAGUAUAUGGAAAAAGUAUAAUUAAAAAAAAAAAAGAAAAAAAAAAGGAACCCAAUAGUCAAGGUUCAUUUUCAAGGAAUGUGAAAAUGGUACUUGGGCGAAAGGGGUAAAUUUAAACUAUAACUAGAGUAUAGAAGGAUAGAAUAAAUACAAUGUUCUUGAACAAUAUAUGACUAGUCAGCAACUGGUCAUGGACUUGAGAUUAAUAUACACAAAAUCACACGUACAUACAACAAACAAUUAUCAAGUCCUUAUAGACCUAGAAGAAAACUAGGUGACAACCUAAGCACUUAGAAGCACUGGUGGACCCAGAAAUUUUUUAGCGGAGGUGCAAUAUUGACUAAGUAUGAAAAAUGGUUUUUUGGAAUAAUCAUUUUCUCAAGAUAAUUUUUGGCGGCUUUUAUUCCUUACACAUCAAAUAAGAAAACUUGAUUUUAUGGGAUUUUAGUAUGAAGUAUAUAUUUACUUAAUGAGCUAUCAUUUUUAGCCUAAAUCAUAUUUUGCACUAAAACCGAAUUUUCAUUUUUUGAUUUGGUGGGAAUUUGAUUUUCUAAUAUUUUUAUUUGAAUCCAAAUAGGGGGUACUUCCUUAUUUACAUUGUAAACUUAAGUAAAUGGAGUAAUAUAAAAAUAAAUAAAAGUAAAUGGACAAAGACAUUUACUUAAAUGUUGGAAAUAGAAAUAAAGUAAUCUGUACACCAGUUGAGCAAAGGAACAAUUUGAAGCACCUACAAUGAUUUUUCCGGUUAGGGGAGGUGCAGUCUACCAGUGCUUAGAAGGAUCCAUCCAUCAUCUAGGCGUUUUAUAUGCUUGGUGAUAUGUGUGUCAGCAUGCAUUAAAUCUGAAAUAGGAAUGAAUAACAAAAGAUGAUUAGGUAGCAAUAUGAAAUAGCUAGGGAUAAAAAGGGGAAAGGGCUAGGUAGCAAAAUGAAACUUGGCAACGAUAACAAUAAUAAAAAAGGAAAGAAGAGGGGGGGAGGGGGGUUGGUUUCAAAAGACAAAGAAAAAGCUAACACUAAUAUUCAAAAAGUAUAGGGAAAAAGGAAAAAAAAAACGAAAGGAACCAACUAGUCACAAAGAAGGUUCAUUUUCAAGGGAGGAAAAAGAUGUAGAAUGUAUUGCGUAUAUGCUUUUUUCGUUAACAAUAUUAGCCCCCCGAUGGUUAAAAAAAGAUUUCUGUUUUGUAAAGAGGUUCUCUUAAAAGAAAGCCGAUUGCCAUAUUAUACAUAAUUAAGAGGUAGAAUUUGAUUGUCGACAUGCUUAUAAUAUUAACUUUAUCCAUAAAACUUUACCAAAAGGUGGAUAUGCCAUCCGGUUAAUGCAGGAAAUUAGACUGUCUUUAGUUUUGUACCUAUCUAAUUUGCAAUUACGUGUUGAUGUAAAACUCAAAUUGAUGCACCAUACGUUGUAGAUAGACCAGACGUUAAUAGACCAUGUAUACGUGUUUAUCUUUUUUAUCAGGGUCAUGAUGCUAGAUCUGUAUCCUUGAUUGUUCGUCAAUCCCAUGGUCUUUUGCAAAUGGAGAAGCAAGACCACUGCGUAGAAAUUAAGAGAAGCUUCAUCCUUGGUGCUUAUAAUUAUAAAGAAGUGUUAGGGUCAUCAGGGAUUGUUGACAAGUUCAUAUGAUUUGUUAGUGUUUCAUUUUCAAAUAUAACUUUUUAUAUGUAAAGAACUUCUAUCUCAAGUGGUUAAGAGCAGUUACCCUAUAUUUAAGGUCCUGUAUUCGAACUCCUACCCUAAUAUUUUAGUUGCGACAAUAGAGAAAGUGAGAGUCGAACACACAACAAUAAGUGAAAGAAUGCUCUUAAUUACUUUAUUCACAAAUUUGUUACAAUUUCACCUAAUAAUCCAACUUUUCAACUCGAUUGGUGGGCUGCGAAUGGUCCUAUCACUCUAUAAUUUAUGUAUCUGUAACUUUCCCAAGAGAAUUUACAAACUUUGGUCUAUAUAGAAAUCAAGUGCACAAACACAAGUGUCCUGACAUUAUUGGCCUCCAGUCCUAUAAAAGGGCACACACUUACACCAAAUUUGUACCAUCCACAAUAUCACUCACUAGCUAUACCUUAACAAUAAUGUCUCCCAAAUUCCUGCUGGUGGUGUCCCUGGGUGUGCUGCUUCUCACCACCUGUUCUCUUGCUGAUCAUGAUCACCAUAAACCUCCACAUAAACCACCACACAAGCCACCUCCUUUGGAAGCAGAAAACUCCGUUGAAUUGGAUGGCAAGCCUCCUAAGGGUCCGAGACCACCCCCAAAGCACAGGCCGCCAACACCGCUUGAUAAUGAGGCAGCAGUGCCAUUGAAGGAUGUCGAAGCCUCGUACAAGCCUCCAGGGAAGAAACCACCACAUAACCCCUACAAGCCACCCUACAAACCUCCUCCAUCAAACUAAGUGCAUGCAUGCCUAGCUAACUAAUUAUAUGUAGCUAGCUAGGUUAUUAUACAUCGACGUGUAUAAAAAAUAAGAGCUGCAUCUGCAUGCAUGAUGAUGUAAUAUUACUCUGUUAUUAGCUUUAUUUUACUACUACUGCUACUAGCUUAAGUUAUUCAUGCUGGAGCCCGUUUGUUGUUGUUAUGCACUUGUAUUUACUUACCAGUCAUGAGCACUGGCGAGUAGAUACAAACUUUAUAUAUAAAAAAAUUAAAUAAAUUAUGAUUGAUCAUAAUUCUAGUCGUGUCGAAUUUACUACUGAAUAAUGAUCAUAAGAGCCAAAUCAGAAAAAAUAAAUUUAAAAGCAUGUUACAAAAAAGAGGGAAAAAAAGAAGAAACGAAUUGGAGUUUUGGUCAAGAAGAAAAAAAAAAAAAAAAACCCAGCACAACAAACUUACGUUUUGGUGAAGAAGGAAAAAAAACGCAGCAAUAGCUGCGCAACCCAAUUGAUUUCUUUGUUUUUAAAAUCUUUUUGUAAUCCUUGUUUAAAUAAGAAAGCAAAACAUGUUUAAAGACUUUUGAAAGCCAACGAAAUGCAGGGCUAAGCAUGUUGUUGAAAGCCCGUAAACUGCAGUUUGCCUCCUCUUAAGUUUUUUUUUUUUCUCUGACCCAAAACGACGUCAUUUUGGCCAGGACUUUUAAAAAAAAAUUAGGCGUGCAGGCAGCAACGCAACGCAACAAAUAGACUUUGGUUGAGUCAUUUUGUCGAACACCUGGAGUGCACCACCACGAGCCGAGUAGAGGUGUAAUUUGAAGUACCUACAAUGGUUUUUCCGGUAGGGGGGAGUACAACUGCACCUUAUUGCGACUUAAUAGGUUAGUCACUGGUCAUGAGCAUGAAACAUACUCAACUUCAUGUUUAGCUAGCUUUUUAAUAAAUGUACUUACUACGUACUCUUGUGUAAUUUAAAAGAUGUAUCAUUAUAAUAAAUUAUAUAUAUAAGGAGUUUCAAUUGAGAGAUUCUCUAAAUAACGUUAUUUGAAAGAUAUUCUCGACUUUCUUUGAGCAAUACUUUGACAUUUCCAUUUGGCUAAAAACAGAAUGGAGUUAAAGGAUAUUGUAUACUAUAAACAAAUUGACACUUCUGUACAAUACGAUUGCGUACUUUUUAUGUUUAGAACUGAAAUCGAAUAAUUCACAUUCUUUAAUUGGAUUGUAUAUAAGAGUAGGGUCAUGGCGUAACUCUUCACCCCAUCGGAGAAGAUUGAAUGUAUGUCCAGAACCGAAAUUGUAAGUAACCCAAAUCAAUUCAAUUUGGGUUAGGGUUGGGGUUGAACCCAAAUUCAGUCAUUCGUUUCUUUGUUUCUUGUAUUUAUUUUCUUUAUAAGCUUUCGUUGCUUUGUUGUUUAAGCCCAAUAUUUCACAGGCUUGGCCUUCUUUUCUUUAAGAAAUUUUUUCGAACUUUUCUGCUUGAAACUAAUGAAAAUUUUGAACUUGUUGCCAAAAGAAAAAAUAAUAAUAAACUCUGCGAUGAUUAUCUUUGUAUCUUUAACUUUUUUCUUUUCUUUUUGGAGAUAAACUUUCUUUGUGUCUAUGAUGUGAGACACAGACACAAAGAAAGUCGGAGUAACGCACUAGAUAUAUACAGUUUGUCGCUAGACCAAAUUCCUACACUUGUCUCGACCAAAAAAAAUUAAAUUCUACACUUGAAAAUUAUAUGUACUGGUUUUUAUCUUUUUCAGCUAUGCGUCCUAAGAUUGGUCAUUUGCUUAUUAGUGGUUAAUUAUUGCAACUUCCCAAGAACCUGUUCCCAGUGCAACUUCUGUUGAUAAUCCAGCUUAACAACUAAAUUGGUGGAUUCUAAAAUGGGAGAUGAAAUUGUAUGUCACAGGGAUAACACUGUUUUGUUAUUAUUAUCCAAUUACGUUCUGUCAUGUAAAAUUCUUAUUAUGUAUGAAAGGACGUGAUUGGUUGGGAAUAACAAAAUAAUUUUAUACCUGUGAUAUACAAGUUUUUCUCCUAAAAUGGGCUAAGCAAAACAACAAAACUAUUUCCUAAAUUUGUCCACCAAAUUUUGUGUCUAAUAUAUGUUAAAAUGUCUUAUUUGUUGGAAAUAAAUAAAAUUGAAAAUGAUUCUUUCGUCCCGAAAAAGACUUGUUUAAAUUACGAUAAAUGAAUAAAUGUAGCAAUAGCAGUUACUUCUGCACCCAGAAUCUUGUGUUCUUCCCUCCUGAAAUAUUGACUUGUAUAUAAGAAAGAAGAGUAAAUAUGAACGCCUAUAUUAAUUAUAUUACUAUAUCCAAAAUGGAAAAAGAUUGGCUCCUUCAAAUUGAAGAGGAGUUCCUCCUUACAAUCAAUUAAUGUGUUUUUGACACGGGUCAAAUUAUUUUAUUUUAUUUUAUUUCUUGAAACUUUGUUAAUAUUGCUCGAAUUUGACAAGUCUCAAAACUCCAUUGAUUUUAAGGAGAAGCUCCUCCUUAAUUUUGAAGGAGCCAUGCUGAUUCAAAAUUCUCUGAUGGGAAAUGAGUGUCGUGGGAGGUAAGUGAGUGCCGAAUUCACAACUCACAGGAAAAAACCCAUACAUCAACUGCCUUUAUAUGUGGUCUAGAGUUGUUACCUCUUAUAAAAAAGAAAGACCAAGACUUCUAGUUUUGCACCAUCUAGAACUCAAUGCUCCAACUAGCUAGCUGGCCAUACAAUGUGUCCUAAAUCCCUGCAAUUGAUGUUGCUGCUCCUUGGUCUGCUUCUUCUCACCACUUGUAUUGGUGCUGAUCACCAUAGACCACCACAGAAGCUACCAAUUUAUAAGCGUCCUCCUCCUUUGGAAGCAGCAAACUCCCUUGAACAAGAGUUGCUGCCAUUUGGUGGCAAACGUAAGAGACCAAUGUCACCGCCCCCGAAGCACAAGCCACCUCCGCCCCAAAAACACAAGCCGCCGCCACCACCUACACCAAAACUCAACCCACACCCACCCCCAACCUCAGCCCACACACCAGCCCCAAACUUACGCCACACACAAACCUUAACCCACCACACCCCAAGAGCACCGNNNNNNNNNNNNNNNNNNNNNNNNNNNNNNNNNNNNNNNNNNNNNNNNNNNNNNNNNNNNNNNNNNNNNNNNNNNNNNNNNNNNNNNNNNNNNNNNNNNNUCUCAACCCACCACCACCACCACCCAGAAAGCGCACGCCACCACCACCACCACCAGCAAGGAGACCACCCCCAAACCUCAUUCCGCCACCACCACCAGCCCCAAAACAGAGCCCCGGUACCACCGCCACCACUCCAAAACACAACCCGCCAGUUACCCCACACUUGAUGAAGCUGCACUAAAGGAUGCUGAAGACCCGUUUGUGCAAGCCACCGUUAGAAUCUACCUAGUCCAUUCACCUAAGUGCCCACCUCACCUCACUAAAUUAUUAUGAAGCUAGCUAGCAAGCUAUCUCAAUAUGUACGCAUAUGCAUCAAAAUAAGUGCUGCAUGCACGCGGGUGGGAUGUAAUAUAAUCAUUUUAUAAGCCUUUACUUUACUACUACUGGUACGUAUGGACUUGGAUUAACUAGUAUAUAUAGCAUGAAAACGCCGCUCACUUUCUUCUUACCAUACAAGCUAAGUACCCUUUGUAAAUCAAUUUGAAGUAUCGUUCGUUAGGGUUCUCCAAUAUGUGUUAAAUCGUUUAUUAAUUUGAUUUGCAAUCUUUAGAUCUUUCAUUCUAAACUCACUUGAUAAUUAUGUCCUAUGUAAUGUAGGGGUUUUUUCUUUUUUUCAAUUACUGAGUUUCAUCUCCCAUGUUCCACCACUAUUGCAACCACCACCCCAAAGAUGGUUUCCUACUACGAACAAAGACAUAUGACACUAUGAUUUAUGGUUUUUAUUUAAUAACAAUGAAUUUGUUUUUAGUUUACUCCUUGAUUUGUAUAAUUCAACACUUUCUUGAAAGAUCAUCUCUGUAAAAAAAUCACUUGAAUCCAAAAUCAUUUAAUCAGUCAAUUAAAAAUUUGAAAUUUUAGUACUUUCUUAAAGCACUAUAUUCAUUGAUUUUGUAGAACACAAUUAGAUAUCGAAACGAUUUUUGAUUUGUAUAAUUUUUUGCAAGGAUAAUGAUCUAUGAAUGUAUACUUAUAAAAUAUAUGAUUUGGAUCGUUGAAAAACAAUUUAUAAAAAGGAACUGAUAUAUAUAGUACAUAUAUACAUAUAUAUUUCUAUAAAAAAAAGCCUUAAUGUUAACAAGAUUAGAAUAAUAAUUUAGUAAGGAAAGAGUAAUAAACUUUUCUUAAAUAAUAUAUUUAUAAAAAAAUUCUACCAAGCGCAUACUUAUUGCUUUUUCCCUUUUCAAAUAUCAGCACCAAACACUUGUAUUUUUCGUUCUCGUGUCAAACUUCCAGACGCAUAAUUUUUCAUUUUCCAAAGCAGUUUUUUGAAAACCCCUUUUGUAAACUGGUAUGUAGGGAAGGAGGAUUUCCUCUCUUUUUUUAGCUGCAAUUGCAGCAAAAUUCUGCAUCACAUAUCUUUCUGGAUUCACACUACCGACUUUAGCCGUGUCAUUCAUUCUGUCAUGUUCCCAUUUUGGGUGUGUAGAACUGGAUUCCACAAAACAUCAUUGCACUUUGGAACACGACUCAGUUCCUUUUUUAGUGCUUUAAUUAGCCAUUUGUAGUUAUCUUUAAUUUUGUAUCUAUCAAUAUCAUUGCAAUUUGGCGUCACUGUGAGCCACAGAAAAAGUCAGACUAACGCACUUGACAUAAUUUGUCUACAUAUGCCAACGAACAAGGAAGAGUAACGCACUAAUUUUUUUUUAUCUUGUUUGCCUUUCUCUAUCCUAUGAUGAUUGGUCAUCGCGAUCCCUUGGUUUCUAGCAAAUGAAGAAGGAAGACUACUACAUAGAAAUUAAGGUAAAUGCUUAAUGUAAACUAUACCACAGAAAAGAUAUACACACCCAAGACACUAGGCAUACGUAUUUAGAUACAAAAUCUCUAUACCUUUGAUGCAACCAUGAGAAUAAGCAAAGUGGUUUAGAUCAUCUAUUCUCUACAAUUUUUUCCUUGAUAUCUCUUUGAAUGGUGCUAGACUAAUUGUGUAUAAUAAUAAGACCAACGGGGUCUAGUCCAGUGAAAAAUGGUUUUGACUUGUGAACCAGUGGUCUCAGGUUCAAACCUCCAUGACAUCUUGGUAGUGUGUGUAUGUGAGUAACCUCCCUCCCCCUUAUAUUAAAAAAAACCUAUGUAUAAUGAGACCAGGAACUUAAUUAUUUAAACUCUCCAAGACCUUGCUCCAAAAUUCGUAUACUUGGAUGAUUGAAUCUCAUCCUUUGGCAACCCAAAAAGAAAAACAGACUGACUAAAUACGUCCACAAUAUGAUAUGUCAAUAUAAGUAUUUUGUAUCUGUUAAAAAAAAAAUACGUAAAAAGAUUUCGAUUAAGUAACUAAUUUGUUGUUAAGACUUUAUCAAUAUACUUCAUAAUAUGAACAAAAUUAUCAACAAUGUGAAUCAUAUAUUGUAGAUUGGUAUUAGUAUCAACCAAUCAGUGUCUAUAGCGGAUUUGGCAUGUAAAUCAAGUGCGAUAUGAUCUAGUCCAAUAAAUGUGGCCUCAAGCAUAAACACCAUAUAUACUACUAGUUUGCACCAUCUAGGCUCACUCCCAACUAGCUAGCUAGCAAAAAAAAGGAUGCGUCCUAAAUCCCUGCAAUUAGUGUUGUUGCUAUUCCUGGGUGUGUUGCUUGUCAGCACUUCUUCUCUUGGUGUUGAUCACCACAGAUCAAUACACGAGCCACUUCCUUUGGAAGCAGCAAACUCCUUUGAACAAGUGUCUCUGCCAGUGCCAGGUGGCAAACAUCUCAUAGGACCAAAGAGAAAGCUUGCAAACCAAGAGUACAGGCGCCGACCACCCGGAUAUCCGGCUCCAGAACCAAGGCACAGGCCAUCACCACCACCUCCAGCCCCACCUCCCCUGCCAAUUCUCAAUCCCCCACCGCCCCCAAGACGCGGCCGGAGGCCACCACCCCCAAACCUCUACCCGCCACCUCCCCUGCCAAUUCUCAAUCCCCCACCGCCCCCAAGACGCGGCCGGAGGCCACCACCCCCAGAUCUCUACCCGCCACCUCCCCUGCCAAUUCUCAAUCCCCCACCACCCCCAAGACGCCGGAGGCCACCACCCCAAAUACCCAGCCCUGGCAGUGGUAGCUAAGCCGCCAAUUACCCCACCAUGAUGAUGAGUCUGCAUGCGGAACCAAAGGAUACCAAAGGCUCGCUGAAGCCACCCUCAAAAGCUUGUCCUUUCAACUAAGAGCCUUAGCUCACUUCACUAGUUAUAUGUAUAUAGCUGGCUAGGUUAAUAUUUGCAUGAUAAAAUAAGAGCUGCCCUUACUAUGCUCAUAUACUCCUUUGGAUAUUUGGGGCAGCUGGUUGCUCAUUCCCGUGUUUAAUUACGUUUGUAAGUUUGCUCAACUAAUAUUUAGUCAUGUACCACGUACUAUGUGUAACUUAAAACAUCUUUAUUAUACAUAAAGCAUGGACUAUAUCGAUCUAUAUGAGCUCAUGCUUGAUAAUUCUCGGAGCAGAACCUGUCAUUGCCAAUUAAGCUUAUAAAUAAGGAGAGGAUCUGGGUCCUUUGUUGAAAACCAAUUAAGUUGAGAUAUAUUCCAGUUGGCCUCGAAGAAAAGUGGUUCUGGUCUAUGAGCCAAAUAAUUUAGGGAAGUGAAAUAUGGACAAAAUGAUUGAUGUGAUGUAAUUCAAAUUUAAUAAUGAGAUAGAAAGAAUAAACGAAAGAUAUUGAAAAAUAUGCCUAAAUGAGAUGCAUUUCUAAAAGGAUUCUAAUUCAUUAAAAAGCAAGGAAGAUCAAGGAAAUAAAAUCAUAUCAUACUCCAAAAAACAUUCAUAUUAUGAGUGCAUGAAAGAUGAUAUAUCUGACCCAUGGAUCAAAUGCAUCAUACGUGUUAAGUCACAAUUAUGGAAUUCGGGGAUUACAGAGCUAUUUCAAUCCUGCAGUUUCUAGAAAUUGAACACACCAAUUCUGCUUCAACCAAACAACUAAAUGACAUUUCCAAACCUAUACUAAGUUCGAGGAAAUGCUAACAUAAAUAUCAUACCAACAAACUCUCAUGACAUCUUAGUGGCUAAUAGCUAACUAUCACAAUUAUUGAUGUCCAUUGCGUUAUUUGGCACUAAUAAUGCCUUUAACCACAUCAUCCUAUACAACUGUACACUAAUGUCAGUGAUUUGCUCAAAAUUGUUGUAACGUCCUAAAUUGCAAUCCACCAUUUCUAUUAAUUAUUUUUAAAAAAACAAAGUGAGAUAAGGGAAUCUAGUGCUUAUAGUCCAUCCUUACAUGAUUGCCAUAUUCUAGAUUUAAGCUCCAUAUGACCCCUAAAUAGCAAAUGUGCAAAAUGGCACUUCGAUGAGAAGGAAGAACAUCUAAGCAUGAAAAAAUAUAUAUUAUAUAUAUAUUAUAUAAUUAUAUAAUUAAAUAAGUGGGAGAGAGAAAGGAGGUGUGAUGAACUUACCGCCGUAUACGUGCGUGUGAAAUUGGUAUGCUGCCGCAGAAGUGCUCUUAACGACCCAGUUUCAAAGUGUUUUCUCAAAAUUGGUGGCCUUCUGCAUCAUCUUUCUGGUUUGUUUCCGCCGCACUCACAAACCCGCUUUACCCCUCUCGUUCAUUCCCUGAUCUCCACUUUCUUCUUUAAGGAAACAAAGAUUUCAAAGAAAUAUUCUUUGUUUUUUUACUUCUGCGUGCACCAUUCGUUGUUGAAAGAUUUCAUUUUCGUCUUGGGGGGAGGAUCAAGAAGGAACUUGGAGAUGGAACCUGGUGUUCUUGAUAGUAUAAUUAAUAAUGGGCUUAUUGAAGUUAGAGGGAGACCAGGCAAACAAGCCACCACACCGCCACCCCCAAAGCGCAAAACAUCAUUGCCCCUUGGAACACGACUAUAAUAUUCGAUCCCAGUUCCUUUUUUUAGUGCUUUAUUUAAGUGGGAAAUGGGGAAAUUCAUUUGAUAUCCCAUAAACAUAAUAAGGUCGAUGUCAUCGUGUCAUUCAAAUACUGCAGGAAAUGAGUGAAUUUCAGGACUAUUAGUCUAAUCCUAUUAAACUAAUUAGCCAGUUGUCGUCUUUAAUUUUGUACCUAUCAUUGCAAUUUGGCGUUGAUGUGAGCCACAGAAAAAGUCGGACUGACGCACUAUACAUAAUUGCGAGAAUAUGAAGAAAUGUCCCACAUCAGAAGGUUAAGAAGCAUAUAGCAAGGACUUAUGAGAGCACUUUCAUCUAUGGUGUCAUGAUAAAGGGCAACGGCAAGUGAAUAGUGACUGCCCUACCCUUUUUUAUUUUGUUUUUCCACCUAUUGUCAGGGUAAGUAAAGGCUAACACUAUUUAAAUGAGAUAUACGGAGAGGAAUUUGUAUGGAGUUUUGACGUGAGAAGUGAAGAACAUGGCUAGGAAUUUAUAAAUAAAUAAAAUUAUGAAUUUUUUGGUUUUUUUUUUAAUUUUUUAAUUUUUUUAAUUUUUUUGGGUAUUUAAAUUGGUCGAUGAUGUCAUGCUGAUAUUAGCAAUCCCAGUCAGCAGCCCAGGCGAAGUCUUAUCUUCUGGCUUGCCCAAGUUGAUGCAGCCCACUCCUUGCCCGGGCUAGCCUUCACAGCUAGAGUUAGUUUUUGGGGGCUAGGGGGCCUUCUGCCCUUGCUGGCUUGCACGGGUGGAAGUGCUCAAAAGAGUUGAGCUACAACUCCUAUUGUGUGAAGCUAUCCUAACAUCUACAUGUACUCCACAUCACCCAAUGUAUGUUGUCCAUGUGUUAAGCUUGAAAUGUAGCCAUAAAAUGCGAGGGUGUGUGAAAAUAUGAUAAUAACCACGACCAUAAUCAAAAUGGCUUAAAUUAUCUAUUUUCUACAAUAAUUGUUUCUUCAACAUCUUUGAAUGGCGCUAGACUAACGGUGUAUGAAGAGAGCAUAAAUUUGCCCGUUCGUUUAUGUUUUCAAGGCACCAUUUUCAUUUUAUGUUUCAAAUUUUCACCAAAUACGUCCUUGGCACCGCUAAAUUGAAAAACACAAGAUUUUUUUUUUGAAAAUGAAUUCAGCAACCAUGAACAAAUAUUGAAAACGAUAAAUCAAUUUAUCAUUUUCUGUGAAAACAAAAACGUGGCCUUCCUUCUUUCUUAGGGUCAGUUUGGCAUUGCUAUGUUGUGAAAGUAAUCGCUGUUAGAUUUGUUGUGAGAGAAAUUAACUAUGAGAGAAAGCAGUUUGGCGUUUGGUAAAUUUUUUGUUAAAAGUGUUGUUAGUACCGAUUCCCCCAUAAUAAAAAAAUGAUUCAUUUAUAAUCAUCAAACUCAGUGCCUCUUCCAAACUAAUUCAUGCAUAAUCAGAAAAUGAAAGCACCUUAUUAGUUGUUUUCCCUUAUAAAUUUCUCUCACAGCAAUUUUUAACAAUAAGUGAUUUUCUCAUAGUUUACCAAAAGGGCUAGGCUUUCCAAUUUUUUAAAAAAAUCACUUAUCACCUCAAAUAAGCAAUCACUAAUAAGGUGCUUUCGUUUUCUGUGAAAACAAAAACGUGGCUUUCCUUCUUUCUUAGGGCCAGUUUGGCAUUGCUGUGUUGUGAAAGUAAUCGCUGUUAGAUUUGUUGUGAGAGAAAUUAACUAUGAGAGAAAGCAGUUUGGCGUUUGGUAAAUUUUUUGUUAAAAGUGUUGUUAGUACUGAUUCCCCCAUAAUAAAAAAAUGAUUCAUUUAUAAUCAUCAAACUCAGUGCCUCUUCCAAACUAAUUCAUGCAUAAUCAGAAAAUGAAAGCACCUUAUUAGUUGUUUUCCCUUAUAAAUUUCUCUCACAGCAAUUUUUAACAAUAAGUGAUUUUCUCAUAGUUUACCAAAAGGGCUAGGCUUCCCAAUUUUUUUUAAAAAUCACUUAUCACCUCAAAUAAGCAAUCACUUGGCAUGUAGCCCGACCAUUCACACACAGCCCGACCAUUUUCCAAACCUCUAGUAGUUGUGAAUCCAUCUGUCAAGUUUUGGACUCCAAAGUCCCGGGCGCCAAUCUCCCAGCCAUACUCAAGUGCAGCCUGGUUGCUCAUAUCUUCGAAAGGUGUCCGGGUUGUGUGAACUUUCACCACGCCCAAACGCUCUCACAGUUGAUUUCUCUCACAACAAGUCUGACAAUGAUUAUUUUCACAGCACAGUAAUGUCAAACUGGCCCUUACUCUCAUUCAACCACUUAGCCUGUAGCUUUUGUUUUUCUUCUCACCUAUCUCAUCUCGUCUCUGGGAUAUUGGCCCUCAUUCUCCCCAUAACAACCCACUGCUCAUUUUUUUCAAUUUAAAAUUAUUGAAGGAAAGCCCACAACCACCAUGAAACGAGAUCGCCUACCUUCAUCCAUUAUUUUGGGUCUCUUUUUUUAUAUUAUCAUUUUCAUAUCUGCGCUUUAAUGGAGGCAAAAAAGCAAGCAAGGCAGCAUGUUUUUAUUUUUAUCCUUUAUGUAUGAGAGGAUAAAGAAGUAAUGACCUUAUGUGAAAGAUUUUCGUUUGUGCUUUGUUGUUAAGGAGAGGAAAGGAAGAUAAAGAUAUCACUUUGUCUUUCUCUUUUGCUUUUCUGUUUGUACUUUUUAAUACCCAAAAAUAGCCCAAUCAAUGGAAGGUUUUCGACAGUGUGGAGACACGAUGGAAUACGUAAUUGAAGUUUAUCUUAAUUUUCAUAUGUUUGUAGAAGACAAGUUUUCAUUAUUUUUGUUCUUAGAAAAUGUUUUCUAGUUAGUUUGUCAUACACAUUCUCGAAUUUUGAAAAUACAAAUUUGUUUUUUUGUUUUCAUUUUCUUAAAAUAUUUUAUGAUAAUAUUUUCCAAAAACGUAACUAGACAACUCACCAAAACCCUGCUCCGGAUGCAACUUCUCUUGAUAAUCCAAUUGUUCCAACUUAUCAACUCCAUCGUAAGUUUGGAUGACUGAAUCUCGUCCUUUGGUAGCCCAAAAAGAAAAAUAAACUGACUAAAUAUGUUCACAAAAUGACAUGUAUAAGUAUUUUGUAUGUUGGAAAAAAUACUAAAAAAUUUCGGUGAAGUACCUAAUUUGUUGUUAAUAUUUGAUCAAAUACACUUCAUAAUAUGAAAUAUCAACGAUGUGAAACGAAUAUUGUAGAUUGGUAUUAGUAUCAACCAAAAAUAACUGUCUUUAGUGGCCUCAAGUACAUCACGUAUACUACUUGUUUUGUACCAUCUAGGCUCACUUCUUCCAACUAGCUAUAGAUCUAGCAAAAUAUAAUGCUUCUUAAAUCCUUGCAAUUAGUAGUGCUGCUCUUCCUGGCUGUGUUGCUUGUAAGCACUUCUUCUCUUGGUGCUGAUCACCACAUAUCACCACACGAGCCACUUCCCUUGGAAGCAGCAAACUCCUUUGAACAAGAGUCUCUGCCAGUGCCAUUGGGUGGCAAACAUCUCAAGGGACCAAAGAGCAAGCCACUGUCAAACGAAGGGUACAGGCGGCGGCGACCACCCCGAUGCCCGAUUGACCCUCCAGAACCAAAGCUCAACCCACCACCUCCACCACCAAACCUCAUUAAUCCGCCACCACCCCAAGACCUCUACCCACCACCACCGAGAAAUCUUAACCCCCCACCUCCCCCAAGAUAACGCCCGUUGCCACCAGCCUGCCGAAUCCCAUACCCCCGUUGUUCGCCACCACCAUGGUGAUGAGCCUGCAUGCGGUAAUGGAUUCCAAAGGCUAAUUUAAGCCACGCUCCAAAGCUUGUCCUUUCGACUAAGAUCCUAGCUCACUAGCUAUGUGUACAGCUGGCUGAUAAAAUAAGAGCUGUUCUUAAGCAAUGCUCAUGCUCCUUUGGAUAUUUGGGCCAGCUGGUUGCUCAUUUCUCUGUUUAAUUAGGUUUGUAAGUUCGCUCUUUUCGAAUGAAUAGAAAAAGAAAAUUAUCAGAUUGGUAUAUUAGAUCAACCAGAAAUUAAAAAGUUGAGACAAUUGCUUGUUAAAUAAUUAUAAAUAAAAAAACAAUAUAAGCAGCAGUUACAUAUUGCCAGUAAGUAUCUCAUAAUCAUGUUUGUGCUACCCAACUUCCUCAGGCUGCACCACCAGCCUAUGCUAACGCUUGACGGACCUGUAGGCUGAAGGCCUUUUGAUUAGGUGUGCCAGAUUUUUUUGGUAAAACGUUAGCCCAGAUUGAGUUCAUGCUCUUCCUAUUCCUAAUAGCACUGCAUUAUCCAGCUCUAGUUCAACAAAAUUCCGCUAGAAGAAAAUUAAUAAUUUUUUUUUUUAACGGAUUGAUAGAACAAAGAAGAAGAAUUUGAAAGCAUUAAUUUGAUUACAAUCCUUUUCAAAAUCAUAUUCAUUUGAUAAAAAUAAUAAUAAGUUAACUAAAAUCGAACUUAUUUGGGGCGAGCAUGUACUCUUUGUGAUAUUUCACUUCUUCUUUUUUGGCUUAUUUAUUGAUAUGUUUCUAUGCUUUACCGAAAAUUUCAGUUUACCUCUUGACUUUUUAACUAAGUCAAUAUGCCCCUUUUGCUAUUAUUAUGUGUCUCACGUUGCCCUAUUCCGUCAACUUUCUCAAUAAAAAUGUUAUCUUUGUUGACCUAACAUGAACAUUUUAAUAAUUUUAGCUAUUAAAAUAAUUUUAAACAUAAAUUAAACACAAAAAACAGUUAUAAAUAUUUUAAAUUUCUUUUUAAAAUUCAAACAACUUUCAGUUUUAUGGAUUAGUUAAAAAUCAAUAAAUAAAAAUAAUAAAAAAACUUUAUCACAACUUAGUUAUAAAAUAAAUUAGUUAAAAUUCAAACACCCUCCCCUGCCCCAGCCACCUCAACCACUAUCCACCACCGUUCACCUCCAUCUCUCUCUCUCUCUCUCUCUCUCUCUCUCUCUCUCUCUCUCUCUCUCUCUCUCUCUCUCUCUCUCUCUCUCUCUCUCUCUCUUCACCAACAAAACCCAACACUCUCACCCCAAACCCCGACCAGGUCCAGACUUGAUAUUCUCCAACUUCAAGCAAUCAUUUGCUUCCAAAUGGUUGGGAUAUGGAUGGAAGAUGAUGAUGACGACGACGACGACAAGGGUGGAUGUGGCUUGUAGGGCCGUGGGGGUGGGAUUGGGUUGUAAAACUGCAAUUCAUCUCCCCAAUUUCAAAAAGACUUAUAUGUGAUGGAGAUAACACUAUUUUGCUAUUUUCAGUCAAUAACACAAUUAUAAGUAGAAAAGUUAUCUUAUGUGUUAUUACAUUAUUAGCCGAGAAUAGUAAAAAAUGAUAUUCCCGUUGCAUGAGAGUUUCACCUACUUCUUCCAUGUCUUGAAUUAGUAAGUUAAGGAAGGGAGAAAAGAGGGGCUAUGGAGGUGAAAGGUGGUUGCGGCAGGCACUGGCGGACCUAGAAAUUUUUUAAUGGAGGUGCAAUAUUGACUAAGUAUGAAAAAUGAUUUUUCGGAAUAAUCAUUUUCUCAAGAUAAUUUUUGGCGGCUUUUAUUCUUUACACAUCAAAUAAGAAAACUUGAUUUUAUGAGAUUUUAGUAUGAAGUAUAUAUUGACUUAAUGAGCCAUCAUUUUUAGCCUAAAUCAUAUUUUGCACUAAAACCGAUUUUUCAUAUUUUGAUUUGGUGGGAAUUUGAUUUUCUAGUAUUUUUAUUUGAAUCUAAAUGGGAGGUACUUCCUUAUUUACAUUAUAAACUUAAGUAAAUGGAGUAAUAUAUAUAAUAAAAAAUAAAGUAAAAGGACAGAGACAUUUACUUAAAUGUUGAAAAUGGAAAUAAGGUAAUCUGUACACCAGUUGAGUAAAGGGGCAAUUUGAAGCACCUACAAUGAUUUUUCCGACGAAAAAAGCUGCAGUUGCACCUUCUUGCGCCUUAAUGGAUCCGCCACUGACCGCAGGGUGAGGAGGGGUUGUUGGGUUUUAUUUUUUUCUAUUUUUUUGUGUGGAUGCUGGGUUUAAUCAUCGAGAAUAUCUUUUUAAUUUAGGUAAUUAUCAAAUUAAUAAUCAUUUCCUUAACAUUGGCCACAGAUUGGCCUGUAAAAAUCAGGCCCAAACACACUUUAGCCGUCUCAUUCAUCAAUUGGAAAUGGCAAGUGAACAUGAGAUUUCCACAUUUUAAUGGUUGAAGUGGAGGCACAAAAUUCAUCAUUGCACUGUGGAACACGACUAGAAUAUUCGAUCUCAGUUCUUUCUUUUUAAUGCUUUAUUUAAGUGAGAAAUCUGAAAUGAAAUUACUGAGACAUAUAGAUCUUCUUAUCCCAUUAAGGUCAAUGUCAUCGUGUCAUUCAAAUACUGCGGGAAACAUAAUUGUACUUAUCAUUGCGAGAUGGGAGUAGUGGCAGAUUCAGGAAAUUUCAUUCUAAGGGCCAACAUGGAAAAAGAUUAAAAAAUUCCAAUAUUAAAAAAUUUCAAUACAAAAUAGACCCAUCGAAAUGAAAUAAUAAUAUUCUAAUUCAUAGUUAAUAAAUAAAACCAUACAAAAUUCUCAUGUUCAUUAUCAAAGAGAAUUGCAUCGACUUCAAAAAAUAAACACAUGCGGCAAUAAACCAAAAAUAUCUCUAAGAAUGUGAUAAUAAACCAAAAAUUAGCACAAUCAUUUUCGCCUUCCAAGGCGUCUCGUCCUAUUCGACAUAAGAACUUGCAUAUAUUAGUGUAAUCCUGCUCACUUUAGGUCAUUUAGGUCAUUUUUGAGGUCCAUCGUCGUUUUGAUUUUGAGCUUAAUAUGCAUGUCUGUUGGGCUUUAGCUCUCAAACUUUGACCCUUAUGAGUAAUGUCUUUGGGGGAACUUAUUCAAGCAAAAAUUUCUUCAAUACGUAAGAGUUAGGUUAUUAUUAUAAAACUCUUUGUGAAUUAAACAUCUAAGGCUUUAGAUUGACCUUAGGUCCCUUCAUGCAUUCAUAUCAGACAUGAAAAAUUAUUUUAUAUAAAAAUAUUGGCUAAUUAUAAAAAAUAGUUUUACAGAAUAAUCAUUUUCUCAAGAUAAUUUUUGGCGGCUUUUAUUUCUUACACAUUAAAUAAGAAAACUUGAUUUUAUGGGAUUUUAGUAUGAAGUACAUAUUUAUUUAAUGAGCCAUCAAUUUUAGCAUUUUUCAUAUUUUGAUUUGGUGGGAAUUUGAUUUUCAUAGUAUUUUUAUUUCAAUCCAAAUGGGGGUAACUUCCUUAUUUACACUGUAAACUUAAGUAAGUGGAGUAAUAUAAAAAUAAAUGAAAGUAAAUGGAGUAUUUUAUCAAGCAGUUUGUGGGCAAUUUGCAGAGGUCAACAUCUUCGCCUCCAAUGGUGGAUUCCGGGCUUGCAGUGGUCAAUUGACCCAUCUUGCCCCUAUGUGGAUCCGCCCUUAUGAGCCACAAAAAAAGUCGGACUAACGCACUAAACAUAAUUGUGAGAAUGUGAAGAAAUGUUUUAUAUUGGAAAGUUAAGAAACAUAACAAGCCUGAUCGUUAGAGAAGGUGUACUAAUUAUCUUCAUUUUGAUGUUAGAUCGCUAUGUUAUUGUAUUGGCCCUUGAUGGCUAGAUUGUAUUAGUCAUUUAUGACUAGUUUCUAUUGACCCUUUAUAAUUAAUGAUUUUUUAAUUAAAUUACAAAUGCAAUCCCAUAAUUUUUAUAUAUAACUACAUGAGCUAGAUGGUAAGAAAUAGAAUCACCACUUAAUUUUUAUAUAUAACUACAUAAGCUACAUAAUUUUUAUAACUAAUGUCUUUAUUUCAUAUUAUUUAAAGGAUGAGUAUUAAUUCGCAUGUAUGAAAUGGGGCAAACUAUAACUAACUUGUGGUUUAGUAAUAGGUUAUUUAGAAUGUUGAAAUAAUUUUGAGCAAUAGUUACUGAUAUUAGUUGUAUACGAUGAAGUGGCUAAAAAACACUAUUAAUGACUGAUAGUUAACAUCCCACAAUUAUUGGUGCCCGUUGUUUUAUUAGAUACUAAUAAUAACGUCUUUAGCCAUCUCAUUAUGUUCAACUAAUGUUAGCGAGUAUUGCUCAAAAUUGUUGUAGAGUCCUAAGAGCAACUCCAGCGGCAAGCCCAGCCAAAGACUGGGGGGAGAAAAAAAAAACCCCCAAUUCCAGCGAGGAGCUCAAGCCCGGGUUGGGAGUGGGACCCACGAAGUCGGGCUGGCCCUCAGGCCAGUUCAGCCCGAGCUCAAGCUCGAGGGCUGGGCUGAUGUCAUUGCUAACGCCAGGCUGGCGUCAGCCCACUCAUUUUUUUUUCUGUUACCAUGUGGCGUCGUCUAGGCUCUCCGAUCGAAUUUUUUCCUCCAAUCCAACGGCAGUCAAUUUUUUUGCAAUAAAAUACUGAAAUUCGGAAAAUUUUUAAAAAAAUACCCCAAAAUUAAUGAAUUUUUUUCUAUAAAUACUAGUCAAUUUUUUUUUUUAAAAUUUAUCUGAAAUUUGAAAUUGAAAAUUUUAUCCGAUUAUGAGAUAUGAAUAGUAUUGACACGUAGGAACCCGAAAAUCUUAUCCUAAAAUAUUAUCCAAAUUAAUUAUUGAGGUAAAAAAAUUUGUGAAAAAAACAAAAAAAAUGAAUAGUAAUUGCCCUUUGCCAUGGCAACGGGUGGAAACACAAAAUACUAUUUGCAAGGGCAACCACUAUUCACAUGAAUAGUGGCUGCCCUAGCUCUCCCCUUGCCAUGGCUAAUGGCAAAUGGGUGGAGUUGCUCUAACAAGGCGGGUCCUGAAUCUUUCAGGGCACUGGGCAAAUGUAAAAAAUUAGGGCCUAUAUAUAUAAUUUGUUUUUUUUAAACUUAGUAAUGGACUCACUCUCAUUUUUCAACCAAGAUCUAACCUAUCUAAAUUAACUAAAAAUUUAACAUUCAAGACAAAUAAAUUAUAUCAAUCGAAACUUGAACAUGAUUUUUUUGUUCAGAUUCAUUGACUAAAUCAUUAUCAAUUCCUACAAAUUCUUCAACAUGAUUUUGCUGUUCAGAUUCAUUGACUAAAUCUUCAGUUGAGUUAUCAAGUGAACUAUUUGUUUUGUUAAGAAAUUUUUUAUCUAGAGCUCCAUUUGAGAUUGAGUUCAUUUUUCUCUCUUUUUUUUUUUUUCUCUCUCUCUCUUUUUCUUUUUCGUUUUUGACUUCUAGAUGGUUGUUUCUUAGGGAACAUUGUUACUUGGAAACAGAAAUAAUACAAGAAAAGCCAAUACAAUUUUAAUACUUCAAAGAAUAAACAAAGAACAACAUAACCUAGAAUUUGAGAAACCACUCCACAGCAACAAACUUGAUAAUUCAAAAUUUGCAAUCAAUUAGAGCUUAGAGGAAUUCAUGCAAAAAGAAUGUGUAACUCAUGAAUCUACAAACAAACAAACAAACAAACAAAAAUCAUAUUUUCCUUUUCAUUUGAUAUCAAAUCAAGAAAAAUUACCUUCAAUUGAUUUCUAUAAUGGCCAAUUUUGCACUAUACAAAAGGCCACACUUUGGAUCUUGGAAUAUCCCCAAAGUACCAACAAAAAAUUAUUUAGGGAUUUACAACUCUGGAACUAGUAAGAGAGGCUUAGAUGAGAUGAGAUGAGAAAAAGAAGAGGAAAAAGAAGAAUAAGAAGAAAAAUUUAGAAUAGAUAACAUUAACCUGGAGGUGUGGAACGGUUAGCACAAAAGAGUUCUUCUUGAGGAGCGGAAGAGAUGAACGCCAUUUUUUUUUCUCAAAAAUAUUAAAUCAAUUUAUAAUAAUAUAAUAUAGCACUUAUAAAUAAAUAAAAAUUUGGGCCCCCUUGAAUAAUGGGCCUAGGGAAGUCGCACUGACUACUCCUAUUCAGAGCCGGGCCUAAAUAUCUAUGCCUGAAAAAACAAGAAUAAUUAAAUAAAUGCUUAAUUGCUACAUUGUACCCUGAAACAUUAGUCAAAUCCUACUUUACCCUCUUAAAGUUAAAGUGACCCAUUUUGGUCCCUUGACUAGGGUUUCAUGUGUCACUUAACCACUUUUCAUCAACUUCAUCCCAAGCACCGUUGAAAUGAUGACGUGGUAGGGGUAUAUUGGUCAAUUCAUCUGAGUUGGCAUAUUUCCCACCAAUCUGAGUUGGUGGCGUGGGUUUGUGGACUUCACCUCGAACAAAAGUCGUUUUGACUGCUGAUGUGGCGGUGUGGACCCCACUUGGAACAAAAGAUCCCCAAGAGCUCACGUUAUUAAACCCCAAUUGAGCUUGCUGGUGCGGAUAAAAAAAACCCUCAAUUUCACUUCCUCCCCAUAGAAGACGAUAGAACUCUAGAAAUCAGAGGUUGGGUUUCCACGAAAAUUUAAGAUGAAGCCUGAAAUAAUUGAAGGAGGGGAAUAGCUGGAUGUGCAGCACAUUUGCUUUCGUGGGAAGAUAGCUCGCUUACAAAACCCACUUCAGGGGUAAGUUUUGUUGUUCAAAGUCUCUAAAUUUUGUUCUAAUUUUUCUUAAUUACUAUUAAUGGUUGAUGCAUAGGAGGAAAAAAGGAUGUGGUUUUUUUUGUUUGGGUGGAUGUUGAAUUUCUACCUAAAGAGAAAGCUCUGGUGGCUUGGCUACUUAGAAGAUUAAAGGAACUGGAAAAGGAUGUUAGGCGUCGUCAAUCAAGAGAAAGAUAGUUAAUGGGUUGCUUUCUUCUUUCAUGGUGUAGGGGUUUUUUCUUUCUAGCAGUUGAAAAUGGGCCUGAACUGUUGUAAAUAGCGAAUGAAUGAAGUUACCUCUGUGCUUGAGUUCAAGAAUCAGGCCCCAAGAGUGAUUCGAAAAGUUUGUGGAGCCUUAAGAAGCACUUUGGUUCCUUUCACCAUCGAGACAGACAACUAUUACAAAUCAAUAUUAUGGCUUGCCUUGAGAAGCUUAUGGCAUGAGAGCUAAGCUUCCAUAAGUUUAGCAAUAGAGAGAGAGAAAGCUUGGAUUUCUUAUAGGAACCAGGGUUCAGAGCAAGAGGAAAGGGAAAUUUGAGAAUAUUUUGAUGAGGGAAAAGAGGGAAAGAUGAGGAUAAAAGGAUGGGUGACUUAAGUAGAUCUUCCAGCAGCUUGAUGAUUGCUUCAUCGUGCUCUGGAUGGUUGUUUUGCUGGAUAUGAGGUGCCCCUUUUUAUAGGCACUAGAAGCCCCUUCUGGUUCAGGAACCCUAGCUAACUUUCCCCAAAUUUUGCCAAGUCUUCUCCUCAAUUUCCCUUUACUUCCUUUGAUUCAAUCCUUUUUGGUGAAAAUUCCUUAAUCCAAGCAUAUUAGGGCAGAGCAUUUUGGGGCUCCAUGGUUUUCCUGCAGCUGACUUCUUCCAUCAUGGGUGAGGCACCUCUUACUUUUCAUUCUGGUUUUUCUACCAAAGUUUGUAGAGGAAAGAAUGGGUAAGGGUGCUGGUCUAAAAGGUGUCUCAUUUCCAGUAGCCAUGCACAUGGAUUUCACUUGGUUUUAACGAUGGCUUAAUUUUGAUUUGGUUUUAAUAGGGUGCUGGGAUUUUUUCUAAGGUGCUAGGCUAUUUAUUCUCUCUUAUCCUUACCCAUAUAUUUGGGCUGAAGAAAUGGGCCUGAGUUUGGUGCUCCCAAACAGCCUAAAACUUCCAUUUCUUGGACCAUCAAUAAGCCUCAUGAACACUCGUAACCAUCCAUACCACAACCUACUCAAUAAGCCCCAGGCAUUUGCGUGGCUUGGACCUACUUAAGCUUGUAGCGUGGCUUGGUACUAAAAUAAAGGUUUUCUUCGCUUGACAUUGUGUGUCGUGUGGUGUGUUUGUGCUCAGGCUCUGCCUUAUUGUAACGGGCUAUGGACGGGACAUUGAGCGCGGGUUCAUGGAACCAUUACAUUUUACAGGCUCAUUGCAACCUCUUUGCGUGGCGGGUUGCUUAUUGGCUUGGUGUGGCAUGCAUACCAUAACUUGUGCAAGAGCAUAUGACAAAUUCUUCCAUAACCCCCGUCGGGUUUCUUUCUCGAUUGAGUGUUGUAUUGGGUUAGAAAUAUAUUUGGGCCCAGCCUUGGAUUUUUUGGGCCUCAACACACGAGGUUUAGUAAUUAUGUUGUUUUGGCAGUUUCUGCAAAAGUUGUGACAUAAUUAAGCCAUUAGAGGUUGGCGAUGGAUGAAAUAUGGUGAUUUUGGAAGUCUGUAUUUUGCAUGAGUAUAUCUUGUACGGUUCGGGGGGUAAUCGGCGUACUCCGAUCAGUGGGGGAGAAUCUUUGGCUCUAUCGGUGAUGAUGGAUGAAUUAGGGUGAUGUGGAUGUAUUUUGCAACUAUUUGUAACAAAUCAUGUAUUGGUACUUAUCUAUUGAACAAAAUGUGGGAGGCAGUUUUAUAAUUGGCAUUAUUCUAGUACUUAUGUAAUGAAUAUCAAAAGAAUUACCAAAACAAUAGUACCUCCAACACUUCUUAACAGUUACCAAAACAAUAAUUAUGAACAUAACAAUUCCUCACAAAUAUCAAAACACAAUUUAUAACAUUACUUUCAAUCUGGAAAACAUUGAUGAAAAUCAAUACUAGUACUUGAUAUAUGUUACGAGCUAUCUAACAAGGUUUGUCCUAAAUAGUUGGACUUGCAAUAUAUCAAUUUAAGCAUCAUCCAGCACUUGCACAUCAUCAAAAUAUAAUACAUGAAAAGCUCGUCUAAAGAGUCAAUUCAGCCAAAUCACAAGACGUGCACAUCAUCAAAUUAACAGUUUAAUAAGAGGCAUUUUAACAAAACACGCAACACUUGCACAUCAUCAAAAUCUCCAAGGCUGAUAACUAUCUAACAACUCCUUCUUAUUGGUAAAUUUAUUCCUUUUGGCAGGAGAUUUGAACAUUUUUUUUUUGUACCAGUGCCAAAAGGCUGUAAUGAGCUUGCAGUUGGUUGAGAUCCAUGCAUACUUUGAGAACUUGGACAAGCUUGCACAGAUUGACUCCCUUGCACAUAUUGACUUCCAAUGGAAGUUUGAGAUCCUUGCACAGUUUGAGAAGCAUCCUUCUUAUUGGUAAAUUUAUUCCUCUUUGCAGGAGACUUGAAUUUUUUUUUUUUUUGUUUUGUACUAGUGCCAAUAAGUUGUGACAAGCUUGCAAUUGGUUGAGAUUCAUGCACAGUUUGAGAAGCUUGGACAGUUUGAGAAAAAUGGGCAGUUUGAGAAGCUUGGGCAGCUUGAGAACAUUGGCCAGUUUGAGAACAUUGGCUAGUUUCCAACCUUCUUUCGACCUAAAAAUUGAAGCACAAUGCAAUUUAUAUCAACUACAUAAAAUAUCUAUUCCUCUAAACACUGUUUACAGGUUACUUGUCUCUUGAUUGUCUUCUAACCCUCUUGGUUGAUGUGGUGACAAUUAUUUUCUUCACCCUUGGUUUAGAUGGGACCUGACAUAAGAAGAGAAUAACAUAAAAUAAAUAUUAAAGAUCCAAAACAAUUAUAAUUACAAUGUAAGAGAAUAGCCAAAUCUGACUGAAACUGUCUUUCUUUGCCUUAGGGUAGCUCCUCCUAUUAUGGCCUCCAUAUCUACAAACUGAACACUCAGCGGUUUCCAAGUUCUACCUUUGUAGCUUGGUGGCUUUCGGAUUAAAGGUUUGUGGUGGUUCACCUACUAAUCUCAUCCUCUUUUUCCUUGGUCUCCUAGGUUUCUUGUGAUACAGUGGUGGCAGCAAAAGAGGCCUAUGACACUAAAGCCACAAGUCUUCGCUUGUCAUUAGGUGCACCAUUGGACUAUAAACUCUCAUAAAUGCUUCCUUCUUGUAACAAUCAUCAACAUAAGCAAUAUGAUCCCCACUUAAUUGUCAAAUGGCAACAUAAGCAUGCUUGCAUGAGAUCCUAAUGAUAUCCCAUCUCCUAUAUGAACAAAUGUUCCUUGCCAAAUCAACCUCAUCCUAACUUCCAUCAUGGUUUUUCACUUCAUAUAAUUCUGCCCAACAAGCUUUGGAAUACACCAACUUGCUUCUCUCUUCAUCUUCUCAAAAAUGCUAAAAAUCCUUGGACCUAUGUCAUGUUUCCAUCUCUCAGAAGAUGCUCUUCUAGUUUCCACCAUCAACAUAAUAUAGUAUCUAAUCCUCUCAAGCAUGGUUAAAAUGGGUUUGUCUCUGGUUUUUAGAAGGGCACCAUUUAAAGUCUCACACGUAUUAUUCAAAAGGAUGUCACACUUAGAAUGAGUUUUAAAGUGAGCUCUACACCAUUGUGAUAGAUCUAAGGCCACCACCCAAUCAAAUGCAGCUUAGCUCAACUUUCUCAUUUUUUUUAAUCUCAGCAUCCCACCAUGGGAUGGUUGUGCUCCUUGCAAUUUUUUCCAUUUGCAAUUUCAACACCAAUCCUCUAUGACCAGCAAGCAUAAAAUUUGCUUCUAAGUGUUUAGGCAGUGUAUGUGCUCAACAUUUGGAAAAUGAUCAUCUACUACAUCAAUCAAACCUUUUUGCCUGUCUGUGAUAAAGACAUAGGAGUUGCUGUUUUUCAUUCCAAGGUCUUCUGCCAACAAUUGACAAAACGAAGACCAUGUUUCAUAAUUCUCCACCUCAACCACUGCAUAUGCAAUAUGAUACAUGUCGUCGUUGGGAUUCAUAGCAACAACAAAUAGUAAUUGUCCAGGGUGAUGACCUUUGAUGUGACAAGCAUCAAAUCCUAUCACUAGCCUACAUCCUUGCAAAAAAUUGUGUUUAACUACAACCAAGAAAAUGUAAAUCCUCUAAAACCUUGGUCUUUCACCUUCCAGCUCACAUUUGAUAAUUACUGUGCUCCCCACAUUUGUCCUUCUUAGUUCAGCAACAUAAUCCCACAAUAACUCAUACUGUUUUUGAUAAGUCCCCUCACUUAUGGCUGUUGCCUUGUGCCUUGCCAUAUAAAUAUGGGAUUUGGAAGCUAUCACACUGAGAUCUUCUUGUACCUGUUGUUUAAAAGAUCCCAUAUCCCAAUUAUGAAUUCUAGAUAGUUGAGUAGCAUAUCUCUGAGCUAACCAUGUUGAGUUAGCAUGAAAGUUUUGCUCAACUGUCCCACAAUCAUGCUCAUCAACAAACUUCUUCACUUGAACUCAUUCAUUGUUGAAGCAAAACAAACCCAUCAAGAAUUCCCUUCACACACUGCCCUUACCUUAUUACGAUAAUUUCAUUUGAAUUUAAUUAACCUCCUGUUUAUAAUUGAAUAGUUUCUAAUUGCUUUCCUAAAUAGGCCAGUGGUUGCAAAUCUUAAACCCACAUCAGCAGUCAAAACGACUUUUGUUCGAGGUGGAGUCCACAAAUCCAUGUCACCAACUCAGAUUGGUGAGAAAUAUGCAAGCUGAGAUGGAUUGACCAAUAUACCCAUGCCACGUCAACAUUUUAAUGGAGUUUGGGAUGAAGUUGACGAAAAGUGGUUAAGUGACACAUAAAACCCUGGUCAAGGGGGCAAAGUGGGUUACUUUAACUUUAAAGGGGUAGAGUGAGAUUUGACUAAUAUUUUAGGUGCUCACCACUUUAACUCAAGGUGUACCCUCACUACUAUUUUAAAAGAGUGUUGCUAUUUCCACCAACUUGUCUUAUUUUUCCACCUACCUUAUUUUCAAAAUUUUAAAGAUAAAUUUACUUCUUUAUAAAAUGACUUAUAAGGACUUAGGGAAAAAAAAAAAACAUUAAAACCAAUUUAAAAAAAAUGAGAAAAGGAGAAUAAAAAAAAAUAAAAAGAUUAACCCCACCUCACCCCAUCAUCUUUCGCUUCGCCUCCACCAACGCACCCCUCAUUCUUCUCUAUUGUCCCUCUUUGUUUCUUUAACAGUCACCACCCCACAAUCAAAAGAUCCCAAGCAGAUCCCCCCCCUAAAUUUUCAGUAUUAAUAAUAUGAAAGGACCUUUAACUGAGAUUUGAAUCAGCCAACAAUUCUAGGCUCUCAAAGUAUGCACCUCACAAUAGAGAGAGAGAGAGAGAGAGAGAGAGAGAGAGAGAGAGAGAGAGAGAGAGAGAGCAACAUCUGGGUUGAGUUCUGUGACUAGGGUGCUGGGCUGUGGGAGGUGAAUUUGAUGGUUGGGGUGUGUUGAAAUUGGUGGGGAGGGGAUCGGGUAAAACAGAGAGAAAGUGUCUGUCUUUUUAGUAUUUUAUAUUGUUUAUUAAUUAAUUAAUUAAUAAUAUAUUAUUAUUUAUUUGGUGGGUGGGAAGAUAAUGCGUAUUUUAGGAAUAAUGGUGGGUGGAAAGAUAAAAUUGUGUUUUUUAAAAAUUAUAUAGUGGUAGGAAAAUAAGAUGGGUGGGGAAAUAAGACAUGGGAGUGGAAAUAGCAGCACUCUUUUAAGGCUUGUUUGGUACACAAGACUGUCUUGGCAUGAACUAUGCUUAGGGACUGGCUUGGCUUGGCUUGGCUUGGUCUAAGUUGGAUAACACUUAUCCUGCGUUUGGUGUAUGCUUGGACUAGGACUAGAAUUUUUUUUAUUUUUUCAAAAAUAUCUAUAUAUAUGCAUAUAUGUAUUUUAUAAUAUAUAUGUAUAUAUACAUACAUAUAAUAUAUAUAUAUGUGUGUAUAUACAUGUAUAUAAGUAUAUUAUAAUAAUAUUAUAUAUUUUAAAUAAUAUAAACGUACAUACAUAUAUAUAAGUUAUAUAGGUGUAUAUAUAUAUGUAUAUUAUAAUAUACAUGGGUAUAAUACAUAUACAUAUAUUUAUAUAUAUGUAUGUAUAUUAUAAUAUAUAAUAUAUAUGGGUAUGUUAUAAUAAUAAUAAUAAUAAUAAUAUACAUGUAUAUACGUGUAUAUAUGUAUAUUAUAUAUGUAUGUAUAUAUACAUAUACAUUAUAUAUUAUAAAAUACAUAUGUAUAUAUAAUAUAUGUAUAAUAUAUGUAUAUAUAUUAUAUAUUAUAAUAUACAUAUAUAUAUGUAUAUACAUGUAUAUAAUAUAUGUGUAUAUAGGUGUAUCUAUAUAUUAUAAUAUAUACAUGGGUAUAAUACAUAUAGAUAUAUAUAUAUAUAUGUAUAUGUAUAUUAUAAUAGAUAAUAUAUAUGGGUAUGUUAUAAUAAUAAUAUACAUAUAUAUACGUGUAUAUAUGUAUAUUAUAAUAUAUAUAUAUACAUAUAGUAUAAAUAUAUAAUUUAUAUGUGUAUAUACGUGUGUAUAUGUAUAGUAUAAUACAUACAUGGGUAUAAUAUAUAUACACAUAUAUGUAUAUAUAUAUUACAUAUAUACAUGUAUGCUAUUAUUAUAAUAUUAAUAUGUAUGUGUAUAUGGGUAUAUUAUAAUAAUAAUAUACGUGUAUAUAUCUAUAUGUAUUUAUAUAUUAUAUAUGUAUAUAUGUAUAUAUGUGUUUAUAUAUAUAUGUAUAUACGUGUAUAUAUGUACAUUAAUAUAUAAUAUAAUAUAUAUUACGUAUAUACAUGUAUACAUAUAUGCUAUUAUUAUAAUAUUAAUAUGUAUGUGUAUAUGAGUAUAUUAUAAUAAUAAUAUAUGUGUAUAUAUCUAUAUGUAUUUAUACAUAGAGCUUCCAUUGAGGGAUCCCUCAAAUAAGUUAUUUGAGGGACACCCCUUGUAAGCCCCACUCCGGAUUGUAUUUCACUAAUCCAAAUCGUCUAUUUUGUAGAUACUCAUUCAAAAAUCAUCUCUACAAAAAACACUUGAAUCCAAUAUCAUUUGACCACUCAAUUAAGUUAUUGAAAUUUUAGCAUUUUCUUGAAGCACCGUGUUCAUUGAUUUUGUAGGACACAAUUGGAUGUCGAAACGGUUUCCGAUUUGUCUAAUUUUUUGUAAGGAUGAUUUAUGAAUGAAGACCUAAAAAAUAGAUGGUUUGGAUCAUUGGGAAAAAAAUUGUAGAAUACCAUAAAGGGCGUCUCUCAAAUAAAAUUAUUUGAGGGAUCCCUCAAUAGAAGGGGACUGUGUAUUUAUAUAUAUAUAUUAUGUAUGUAUAUAUGUGUUUAUAUAUAUAUAUACACAUGUACAGAGAGCUUCCAUUGAGGGAUCCCUCAAAUAAGCUUAUUUGAGGGACACCUCUUGUAGGCCCCACUCCGGAUUGUAUUUCACUAAUCCAAACAGUCUAUUUUGUAGAUACUCAUUCAAAGAUCAUCUCUACAAAAAAUCACUUGAAUCCGAUAUCAUGUGACCACUCAAUUGAGUUAUUGAAAUUUUAGUACUUUUCUUAAAGCACCGUGUUCAUUGAUUUUGUAAGACACAAUUGGAUGUCGAAACGGUUUCCGAUUUGUCUAAUUUUUUGUAAGGAUGAUCUAUGAAUGAAUACCUAAAAAAUAGAUGGUUUGGAUUAUUGGGAAAAGAAUUGUAGGGUACUCUAAAAGGCGUCCCUCAAAUAAAAUUAUUUGAGGGAUCCCUCAAUAGAAGGGGACUGUACACAUGUAUAUGUGUAUCUAUAUAUAUAAAGCAAAAGGCAGAGAAUGGUGAAACAUUCAAAAUACCAGAAAAUGCCCUUGGUUAAUGCAAACAUUAAGAAUUGAAAUUAUUAAUUAAAUGAGGAUAAUAUGAUAAAUUCACAAUUUUUCGUAUUAAAAAAAUUAAAAUUAAAAGAAAAUUCAGAUAAUGAGUCCUAUUUUUAUGGAACACAAAUAUUCAUUAUCUUUUUUAAUUCUAAAAUAAAUUUAAAUUUUUUUUAAAAAAAACCUCUCGCAUGCGCGGAAGCGCGUGCAGAGAGGCUAGUGUAAUAAUAAUGUAUAUAUGUAUAUACGUGUAUAUAUGUACAUUAUAGAAUAUGUGUAUGUAAUAAUAAUAAUAAUAAUAAUAAUAAUAGUAAUAUAUGUUAUUAGUAUUACAAUAUAAUAUAUGCAUCUUAUACAUUGGUAAACAUAGGACUAGCUAAUCCUCCCUUUCUACAUGGGCUUCGUAGUCCCCUCCUAAUGAGGUGUUUUUGGUGGGCCCGGUAUUAGCAAUCACAUCUAAGACUAGAAUUAAAUGAAACAAACAUGGUACUAAAUUUAGUCCAAGCCAGUUCAAGCUAAUCCAAACCAAGCCUGAGACCCCUUAAAAUCUUUACACAUGCCCAUGUGUAUAAUAAAUUAUUUUUAAAUCUUUUAAGUACUUAAAAUCAUACAAUAUUAUAAAAAAAAAUAUUUAUUAUUAAAAAAACACUUUCUCCUCUCUCCCCUUCCCCCUUCCCAUUCCUGACCCACACACAACCCCAGACACCCAAUUCUCUACAACUACCACCCACCCAACACACAUACACAUAAUAGUGUCCUUGAAUUGAAAUUAAUUAGUUACAUUUGAGACUCUUGAAAAUAAGAUUUCAACGAAAGCAUCCAAAACCUUUUUUUUUUUUUUUUUUUAAUUUUUAAAAAAACGUUUCAAUGAAAGUAAGUUUUGGAAAAAAUCCUAACUUCUUGUGAGAAAUGAGAAAGGGAGGUAUGUUUCAAGAUCCCCUGCAGUGAUAAGAGGAGAGCUUACGAAUUCCAAGCCCGGCUCAAAUCUAAAUGAGAUUUCAUAUCCGAAGCCGAAAAAGCAACGAAUAGAGACAAACAUGAAGUCACCACGUUUGACUGCAGUGCUAAGGUUAGGAAAUCUGGGCACAAAGAUAUCACAUAUUACUUGUUGCAUAAGAGCCACAACGACGGCGAAAACACCGAGAAAUGGUGGCUGGGUUUGAUGAAGGGGUAUACUAGGUUGGGUUGGGUUGGGUUGGAUUGGAUUGGGUCAGGAAGAGGGAGAGAGAAUGAGAGAGUUUUUUAAUGUUAUUUUAUUUUAUUUUAUGGUUUUAAAUAAUUUUUUAAAAGACUUAUAAGUAUAUUAUUAAUUGUGGUUUACACAUGUACAUGUGUCAAGUUUUUAAAAUGAUGAUAAGAAUAUACCUUGAGUUAAAAUAGUGAACAAAAAUGCUCACAAUGUUUCAAGAUAUACUGUAGCAAUUAAACCUUUAAAAAAUAAGUGGGAGAGAGAAAAGAGGUAUGAUGAACUUACCGCCGUGUGUGUGCGUGUGAAAUUGGUGUGCUGCCGCAUAAGUGCUCACUGACCCAGUUUCGUAGUUGUUUUCUCGAAAUUGGUGGCCUUCUGCAUCAUCUUUCUGGUUUGUUAGGGGUCCAUAUUCCGCACUCACAAACCCACUUUUCCCCUCUCAUUCAUUCCCUACUCUCCACUUUCUUCUCCAAAGAAACAAAGAUUUCAAGGAAUAUAUUCUUUGCUUUUUAUUUCAGUGUGCACCAUUCGUUUUUCUAAAGCUCAAGAAGGAACCCAAAUCCCCUCCCUAUCCAUUUUGAUUUAAAGCUCACAGUCCCUCUAACUUUUCUGUUUUUUCCUCUAAAGAAUGAAAGUCUUUGGGGCUCUAGAAGGCCAGAGCACUGCUCUUUAUUCUUAUACUUGGGCUUUGCUUUUCGGGUUUGCUUUGUUCUCUGCUUGUUGAAAGAUUUCAUUUUUGUUAGGGGCGAGAUGGAACCUGGUGUUCUUGAUAGUAUAAUUAAUAGGCUUCUUGAAGUUAGAGGGAGACCAGGUAAACAAGUGCAGCUCCAGGAGGCUGAGAUAAGGCAACUUUGUUUUGUAUCCAAGGAUAUUUUCUUGAGGCAGCCUAAUCUUUUGGAGCUUGAUGCUCCUAUCAAGAUUUGUGGUAUUUUUACAUGAAUCCCAUAUUCUCCUUUGUCUUAUAUUAUUUCUAAUUUGCUUUUUGUUUGAUGGGUUGAUAAAUUUUGAGUUUGAAUAUGAAAACUCUGUUCUGGGUAUAAAUAAAUAGUAUUCUGCUUGUGCUGGGUAUGGAUAAUUUUUAUUGGCUUGAAAUGGGUUAUGAUCAAAUCUGAAGAUUAAUAAGUUGUGUUCCAUUCCAUCAUAAAGUGAUCAACAAUCUUGCUAAAAUGUGUCAUCUUUAUGCUCAAUUCUCGACUAAAGGGAAGAAUCACAUGGCUGCGAAGAUCUUUGAAAACUCUGAAAACUUAGGAUUCAUAUUGGAUUCGAGAUGUAUGGACACUCGUAAAUGCCUAGUGGUAUCUUUUGAUAAUGCUCUAUUGUUCGUCUUCUGUGUAUUUUUCUUUCCUGUAAAACCUUCUCUUCUGUCUACUUUAUUACUAUUUGACUUUCAAUUUGUUUAAGCACUAUACAACGUUGAGCUAUGGAAAGGUUGAGGCCUUGAGUGCUUGGGAAUAUUUGCUGGCCAAUUACCACUACUAACCACAACCCUAUAAUUCUUUUUGUGUUCCCUAGUUGGCACCACUUCAGUUUUUGAAGUGUAGGGAUAUUCUUCUCCCUGGAGAGCAGAGGUCUAUAUGUAUGUUAUGUCAACACCACUAGAAACUCCACAAAACAAACCCCCCUCCCCCAAACUGUAGUGUAAUUUUUGAAAUCCUCCAGUGUAGGGUUGUUAUAUCUUGUGCAGCUGAAAUCGUGCAUGGGAUGAGUCCUUGAUAAUUUCAGUCGUAAUCUGUUUAUCUAUCUGUAAUUACAUCUUUCUAUAUUAUUAAAACAGCAAUUCUUAUUAUCUGUCUUCACGUGAGUUUCUUAAUGUCACCCAGGUGAUGUCCAUGGUCAGUAUUCAGAUCUUCUGAGGCUUUUUGAGUUUGGCGGAUUACCUUCUCACUCCAACUACUUGUUCUUGGGGGAUUAUGUUGAUCGUGGGAAGCAAAGCCUUGAAACCAUAUGCCUUCUCCUUGCAUAUAAAAUAAAGUAUCCAGAGAAUUUUUUCCUUCUGAGGGGCAACCAUGAAUGUGCUUCAAUAAACCGAAUAUAUGGGUUUUUUGAUGAGUGUAAACGAAGAUUUAAUGUCAGACUCUGGAAAGUAUUUACAGAAUGUUUCAACUGCCUUCCUGUGGCAGCUCUCAUUGAUGAGAAAAUUCUCUGCAUGCAUGGCGGACUAUCUCCUGAGUUAAACAAUUUAAAUCAGAUUAAGAGUUUACAGCGACCUACUGAUGUCCCAGACAGUGGUUUGCUAUGUGAUCUCCUGUGGUCUGAUCCUAGCAAAGACAUUCAAGGUUGGGGACCAAAUGAGCGGGGAGUUUCCUUUACCUUUGGUGCUGAUAGGGUGACCGAGUUUCUUCGGAAGCAUGAUCUAGAUUUAAUUUGCCGAGCUCACCAGGUCUUAUAUAUCUUUUAAUUUGAGAAUUUGCCAAAAUCACACAACCUAGAGUGUCUUCCACUGACUGGAUAUCAUUUAAUUUUCAGGUUGUCGAAGAUGGAUAUGAGUUCUUUGCCAACAGACAACUUGUGACAAUAUUUUCAGCACCUAAUUACUGUGGUGAGUUUGACAAUGCUGGGGCAAUGAUGAGCGUGGAUGAGUCUCUUAUGUGCUCUUUCCAGAUAUUGAAACCUGCUGAAAAGAAGUCAAAGUUUGGCUUUGGGAGUAGAGCUUCAGCUAAGCCGGGUACUCCAAUGAAAGUCAAGGUAUGUUCAUCUGUCUCACCCAAUUUAUGAAUCUUUGGUUGAGCGUAUAAUGAGGGCAACAUAUGUUUACUUGUUUGCCACUGAUACAAGAGGAAUAGCUAAUUAUAUAGAAAUAUUUUCCAACUAUCAUCCAUGCUGAUUUGAGCACAGAAAAGCACUGUACAUCCAUAGAUGAAUGCAUCAUUCAGUAAACUGUGUUAUGGUACCUUGGACCUGUUGCUUCGGCUUGCCAAAGAGACCCCGGGGCAAUUAAGCAAAAUAAUUUUAAUGGGUUGUAAAGAAAAACGGUUUCUAAGGCAUGGGUACCGAUGUGAUAUCACAUCUUGAGUUGCAAUUGUAGGUUUGUUCUGUUGAGUCAUGUUGUUGUAGAAACAUUUCAAUUUAUGGUCUAUGUUACAGGGCAUAGGAUCUUGCUGUUCUCAGUGGUUCGAGUGUGUACUGGAAUUUAUAUUUAUGCUUUCAUGAACCUUCACUUUAUAAUUGACACUUGCAUGCCUUGUUAAAAUGUGUUUUUUUCUUUUUCUUCCAGUCGUUUCUUGGUGCAGUGGCGUAAGGUAUUGUGAUAUGAGAUCCUGAAGAAAAUAUCUGGUCCUAGGUUGGACAGAGGUAAUAAGGUUGCAAUUUUAGAAGUCCUGAUUGCUUUCAACACAAGGGACAAACACAAUUUAGCAAAUUCCUUCAGCUAGGAAGAGUGCAGAAGAUCUUCCGUGGAGAAUCUGCCAUCAUAUGAAGUGAGACUGUAAAACAUUCCAUGUAAGAGUGGGGAAAGUUGGAAAAAGAGUUCGGUUGAAUCAUUUCUUUCUUUUUUUGGUUAUUUGGGUCUUGCAUUUCAAUAUUAAAUAAUAACAGUUUACAGUUGUAAGACUCACUGUCAGUAUUCUCCUCUUUGUUCAAUCUGUCUGUUAAGCAUAGAACGAAAAUAAAGUUGAAAGGAAAUUUGGGAUUGAAUUGUUUGUUGUGUAUUUUGAAGAUAUAAAAGUCCUACAUUGAAAACUUAACUAAAUAAAUUACAAUUUAUAAUAAAUAGUUCCACUCUUAAUAAUACCGAAAUCUUUUGUGAUCAAAUUUCACAUCUAUCAGAUUUUAUAGAUUGUUAAGUUGGAAAUAGUAUCGGUAUUAAUUGUCAAGCGCGAAAGUGCGUGCAAAGAGGCUAAUCAUAUAUUAAAAAAAAUAACCCUACCAAAUCAGAUGCGAAAUACGUCGAAUAUCAUAAAGUUGUUGAUAAAAACAAUAAAAUGAUAGAGCUGAUUGAGUUGGCCGACUUAGUGGGGCCGGCCCAAUGCCCAUACACCCUUGAGCAAGAGGAAUAAUGGGGCUACUUGGGCUUCCCUUGGCUUUUACUCGGUCACAUCUUAAGGAAGGUAACAAAGAACAAUGAACUGACUAGCCUAAGCAGGAAGACUGAGAAGACCUUGUAUAUCACAUAAAUAAUAUUAUUUUGCUAUUUUAAACUAAUCACGUUCUGUUACGUUGAUAACACUAUUUUCUCAUAAGGUUUUUUGUCCAAAUUUUCCUUUUGAUCCAUCCAUCCAUCCAUCCAUCCUAAUCUACACGACUUAUACUUUGAACCGCGUACCUCAGAAAGUUAUGAUCAAAGUCUUGUGAUAAAGACUCCAUUGAUUCCUUGAUGGACCACUUUCAUUUCAAAUUGUAUUCGGCCUUUCAUUCUGGAAGAAAAAAAUGAAUUAUUCCGAUGGGGAUUCUUUAAUGGUAUGUGAUGCCUUUUUGACUUAAUGUAGUAGAUCAAGUUGACUUGGCCAAACCCCAUAUUGGCUUUGCCCUCUUCCUCAUGCAUUGCUUUUGGCUUUCAUGUUCUGUCCCAAAUUAGGUGAGUGCUCCUCUAGAUGCUUUCUUUUCAGCAACCAAGGGUGGAACUACACCAUGAAUAGGUGGGCUAUAGCGUAGUGCAAUGUUUGGGAAAAAUAAAAUUUAGUACUAACUUUAAGACAUUACACCUCAAAUCACAAAAAUUAAUCUAGCCCGCUCAAGCAAAAAUUAGUCUAUCUUAUCCAAGCAGAUCUCCAGUUAGCCAUAUAUAUUUCAGAGAUUUCAAACUUUUUCUCUUAUGAAUGAAAUUUUAUUUAAAUCUUAUCUAUAUAAGAAAUGAUAGCUCACCCUUAUAAAAAUUUAUGAUUCCUCCCUUAUCAACGACAUCAAACUUACUCAAGUUAUUGUCAGGCGAUUUGAUUAAGUGAACGAUUCUCACGUUAACCUAGCACUACAUUGUGGAAUUGGAAUUGAAAUUGGACCUAAACGAUUUGGAUUUUAAGUCAACAAUUCAAGCUCUCUAGAUUUCUUUGUUGGGUUUGGGAUUGUUGUGGGAACUUUUUUGUGCUGUGCUCGAAUCUUAUCUAUAGCUAUAUCGCAUACUGGAUGUCUUUUUGGAUUGUGGUGCAUUGUGACACUGCUUGACUAAUUAAUAUGCUUUUUGUACAAAAGAUUAACAACCUAUUAUCCCAAUUUUUAGUAAGAUAAAAUUAUAGGAAAGGAAUUGGAUAUGAGGAAAUUUGAUUCCUGAGACAUGGUGUAAAACGUUGGAAUUAAGGAAAAAAAAAGAGUAAACAAAACAGAUUUCUUUUUUCUGUUGGUACAAGUGAAAUUGGAGGAGGGAGAAAUAGAAUAUAGGACCUCAUAUGCAAGAGUAAGUACUCUUAUUCUUAACCCACCUAAUUAUUUGAUAUUGUAAAGCUCUUAGAUACUGCGUUCAAUCCACAUUGUCUUUGGGAGCAAAUAUUUUCGUCUCCAAUCACGGCACGCCAGUUUAUCUGGCCAAUUAAUUAAUAGGGAUAAAUAUCUUAAUUAAUAUGAUAUUAUCUUUAUUUAAUAAGAUAAUAUCAUUAAUUCAGAUAUUAUCCUAAUAAAGAGAAGAUAAUAUUGUUAAUUCAGAUCUUAUCAUAAUAAAGAGAUCAAUAAAGAUAUAUAAUCAAGUCUGACUCGAUCCCUACGAACUUGGGUAGAGAAUAAACUCAGCAUAUUCUCUACAAAACCCUAGCCCCGAGGCUCCUAUAAAUACACGACCUCAUUUAUCAUUCAAUCUACAUCUAAACUUACUCCUAAUACCCGAGAAAAAUACCCGAAGCUCUCUCUCCACUCUCCACAUUUUCUUCACACGGCUCCGGCCACCACACAUGGAUUGGCCGCCCGAUUCACACACUGCUCGGCCGCUCGGUUCACACACGGCUCAUUCAUCAUAUCUAAAUUUACAUCGGAGGGACGUUGGCCAACACUUGAGUGUGGUCUAUUUACUCCAAUAUUUUUUUACAGGAAUCGAGGAAGAGAGAAGAAAAAUCGAAGAUUGAAUAAUCUAAAAACGAAUAUUCUCCUGCGAGAUUAUUUGCACAAACAUUGUCAUUAUCAUCUUCAUUUAACAAAAGUUUUUUUUAUAAAAUAAAGAUGAUAGUGACAAUGCAGAUUUAACGCGGUAUCUAAGAACCUUAUAACGUCAAAUGAUAGGUAAGCAUGCCAGGCUCUUAUUAUUGAACUUUAAUGUUUUGGACUAUGUUCAAGUUGUUAUGUAGUAGAGAGAGAAUGCAUGAUCUCGACACCUAUCGACUCCAUCCUUGUCAUUUCAAGUAGUUUUCUUGACCCUUACCAAAUUUUAACCUAUAUAAUAAUUUCAUUAUGAAGUCCAGAUUAACAGACUCAUCCAUAACCUCAGCGUUUUCCCCCUAACACUUCAAUAGUAAUUAGCUUGCUUCACACAUAUCCAAUAUGAGAUUUCGACUGUUUCCUCCUCAUCAAUCUAUUAUAUUUUGAGUCCCAUUUUACUCACCAUCCUUAACUCAUGUGCAUUAUUCGUUUUUCUAAACGGAACUGGUAACAAUUUACUAGCUCUCUUUGUUGUUAAAUAAAUAUUUUUUUAGUACGUUUUUAUAUUAAAAAUUAUAAAAUAAAAUCAUAAUAAAUUAAAAAAACCUAACAAUUUGAAAGGGAAAAAAAGCAUUUAUCCCCUACCCUAAAUGUUGUGAUUUCUCUCUCUUAAUAUAUUGGGGGAAAAAACCUCCUUGGCUCAUUUGUCGUACGCGUUAAUUCAUGUUUGGUGGGCCUAUCCACAGCAAAGAGGUGGGGAAUUGAUGUUUGGCACAACUUUUUUUUAUUUUCUUUUUCAUGUCGAAUCGAGAAAAUCGAACCUGAGACAAUAUUUGAAAGAGAUGGUUUUAAUUUGAUAUUUGCUUAUGGGAAAGUAAAAUCUUCUUCUCUCGUCAGUUUGGUUGACCCUUUUAAUUAAUUUAUUUUCAGGAAUUUUUAGUAGGUGGUCCAUUUGAUAAGCAUCCAGAUAUGUAGUGCUUGCGGCUAGUUGACCUUUUUAUAAUAACCGUCUGGUUAUAAUUUUUUUAGCUAAAUUAUAAAUGCAAUUCAAAAAAUUUUAAAUAAAAAAAGAAGAGAUAUGUAGUGCUUGCAGUUUACCAACUUGGUGUGCUUAAAGACCUUAUAAUCAAUUUCAUAUUAUGCCCCAAUUUUGCAGUUUAAUUUCAACAUUUUGCAGAUACCUAUAUAUUAUAUAGUUGAUAUUUUAUUUUUUGUACAAAAUAAAUAAUGGUUGACAUUGUUGGCACCAAUUUUAAAUUCACUCAGAGAUUGAAGAACAAAAUAUUAUGUACUUUGACUUUAACAUGUAUCCUCCUGAACCAGCCAAACAUAAAAAUAAAACUAAAAUUCGGUUUUUGACUUUUAAUUCCUCUGUCAUCGGGCAAGCAAAGAUUCAGAAAUGUUUCCUAACAUCUUUUCAUUCCGCCGUAUUCCAUCCAUUGCUGAGUUCAGCCCACAGGAAAAAAAUACAAACAAACAAAGAAAGAAAUAAAAACGUAACGUAUUGCUUGAAAAAGGAGAUAACAACACCGCAAGCGUAUGUGACGUUGGCAAUGGCAACACCUCCAAGGAUUUGCAUAUUGUCAUCAACUCUCUCUCUCUCUCUCUCUCUUAAAGAUACAAAUCUUUUGUUAUGACUUUGGCAUUGUGACUUUAUUUUAGCUUAAGUUAAGCUUCCUCCAGUGUGCGUCGGGCAUUGUUGAAACAUAUUGAACAAUUAAUUUGAAAUCAUCUAUGUUAAUUCUUAUUACCCAACACCACAAAAAAAUCUCUAUUCAAAAAUCCGUUCUUCCAAAAAAAUUAGUCAAAUCGAUAAUCGAUGAAAUAUAUUAUAAGAAAAUAGAUAAAUCAAUUGAAAUUUCAUAAUAAUGAUUUAUGUUUAAAUGGUGUCUGAUUUGAUUGAAUUUUUUUUUUCAAGAAUGAUGGUUGAAUUAAGAUUUUUUUUUUAAACACAGGAUAUAUAGUCUAAACUACAAAGGGUAGAGAGGAUUCACUCACACACAUAUUACUAAGGUGUUAUAGGGGUUCGAAUAUAAGACUGCUCUAUAUAUAAAUCAAGACAUUUUUUUAUUGGACUAGACUCCGUUAGCUGGACAGUACAUGUGAAGACUUGAAUAAUUAAUAAUGUAAUAUGUGCUACAUAAUUAAUAGUUUGGAAAUACAAUAUGUAGAAUUUUCCGCAUAAGAACAAUAUUGAUACACACACUAUCCUUUAAAAAGCAUUACCAAUACCACAGAAAAUUAUGCGGCCAAUGCAAUGCAAUUCCAUUGUAACAUCAGACUUCCACCCUCUGAUCAUAUAUAGAUUCAAUGCUGAUCAUGCAUGGGCAGUGAUAAUCAAAGGGCAACCUACAAGUCAUAGGCACUUUCACUUUCUUGGUUAGCUGGAACUAGUCUUCUAUGAUUCGUGCGAAUUCCUUAAUACAAUUGUACACAAGUUAUUAGGUUAUUACGUGCUAGGAAUAGUGUUCAUCAUAUAGGCACGCAUUUUACAUGUACCCUAUAAAAUUCAGCCUCCGAGUAUUAUAUCAGCACCAAAAACAAAAACAAAAAUAAUUGUGGCUAUUUUGCAGUGAUUUUCAUUGACCUUGUUUUGAAGAUCACCUGUAUGCAGACAGUGCAAUCAUUUUCAUACUAUAAAAGAUUUAAUAUACAACUAGUUUUGCUAGAUCUGUAUAUAUGUAGAUGGGUUGCCUUGCAUAUAUAGGUUUUUUAAAAUGAAAAUAGACAUUAUUAAAUUUUAAUUAUCUUCGAGACUUUGAAGACCAUAAAUUAUGUGCUAGUACUUUAAGCCUGUAUGUGGAGGAUAACUUCCUCGCAUUGGUUUUCACCCUUUUUUUUUUUUGUAUGUCACUCUUCACGUGAGGUGACACUUAUUUGAAGUCACAUUCACGUGAUGAGAGAGAUAAUAUAGAGAAGAGAAUAAAAACCAGGGGCAUGUACCCUAUUGUGAAAAAACGUAGGUUGGUGGGUGGUGUUAGAGGAGAGAGUGGAUGGCCAUUCAUGUUGUGAAGGGGUCAGUCGAGUGGCUAACUUAUUAGACCCGCAACAAUGCACUGCACAUUGGAUUUAGGCUAAUACGAUUGAGCCCUGCUGUAUGCACCGCUGUCCAAAUAAAAGAUUAAGCUUAUAUAUAAAGCCUAUAAGAUUCUGCGUCAUCCAUUAGGUCAUGGAUAAAUCGUUAUCAUCCAGAAGUUCAUCAGUCGGUCAACGGUGGACAUAUAAAUUUAUAUUUAAUACUAACGGCUAAUCCUAUUUUAUAUGAACAUGUUGUAUCAAUUAUAUAUAAUUAAGAUGCAUUGUCACUUCACUUGUAGAUGUGAGCAAUUAACUAAGACAGUGUGUUCACUACUUUACACCCGAGUUCGAAUCUCCUUCCCAUCUAUUAAGAUAGGUGAUAUACUUCACUUGUAGAUGUGAGCAAUUAACUAAGACAGUGUGUUCACUACUUUACACCCGAGUUCGAAUCUCCUUCCCAUCUAUUAAGAUAGUUUAAGAUAUCACCGUGUCACAAAAAGAUGCAGUGCCACUCAUUUGAGUGUAGUUAUGCACUUGCAAGAAAAACUAUAGGCAAAAGACUUGGUGACUUCUGCUAGGCUAGCUUCCUUUGAUGCGAUUGCUACCAACUCCCUAAACUUAGUUCCAUCAAACCGUUUUAUACGUUCACCUUGAAAAUAUCCAUAUACUUUUUUCUUUUCUUUUUUUAAUUUAUUUUAAAAUACGUAUGAUUUGAUGAGAGGUCUCAAUAUAUACCAUCAAUCAUUUUCUAGGAAAAAUGUUUGAGGUUUCCCUCUUGUGGGAUGUCAGUCUUUGUAUACGGUCUCGUUGGAAGUUGCUUGGAAAUUGUUGGCAAACAUCAGAUAGGAAUUUCUCAUUUGCCACUUCAAUACUUGUGACAGUAAACAAGACCAACUUAAACAACCCAAAUUAUAAUUUAACAUGUAUGCAAACAUUUUUAAGGUUGUGUUUGGUUUUACCAUUUGUUCCAUGUUUUUGUUCUCUUAUAUACAGGCGGAGAAGAAAAACCAAAGAUAAGAUUAAUAUUUGUUACCAGCUGGUUGAGAAACUGUCUGUACAAGUAACAAAAACCCAUCAUGUCCGACAAAUAGAGGUGAUCUAGGGCUUUUGCCUUGGGCCCUUUCUGAGUAUUUUCGACUCGGUUUUUUUAAAAACUGAAUUGGCUUGGCUCACUAACUUUGGUCUGGUUCCAUUCAUUAUUUCUAUUGUCACAGUUUAUUCAAAAAUGGAAGUCACUUCAUGUUGCACUCCUAAAGGCAAACACACGUGACAUGACACACCUCCAAAUAUGGUCCCCAAUAGAAAAAAUGAAUGGAAGUAGAACCACUUGUAAAAAGGUGCCUAGACUUUUCAAGUUCAAUCCUUAAACCAAAAAGCAAUUUAAUUACGUGGUUUCCUAUCUUCCAAACACUUAAUCAGUUAAUGAUCCUUGCUAAUGGGAUUUAAUUUAAUGAAAAAUGGCCUUCAUUUGUAAACCAAUAGUCUUAAAUUCGAAUACCCAAAACACCUUGACAAUGUGUGUGAAAAUCUCCCCUCCUUCUUCCUAACUUUGACAAACAAAAAAAACAGUUAGCCAUCUUUUAUAUAUGUAGUUUGCUUGCAUCACUGGCAGGAGUUAAAAAGUCCUUUUCGAGUUACGCAUUUCCUUUUACAUGAAUUAGAACAUGACUUGCAUGAAAUCCGGCAAGAAAUUAUUUUUAAAAAGAGCAUUAUAAGAUGACGACGAUGGAAUUAAUAUUCUGAUUUGGAAUACCAAGUUUCCCUCCUACUCUUCCAUUAUUAUAUGCAACUUGGUAAGAGCAAGCAACCCAAUUCAAAAUAUAAUGGAAUGGCUUGACACUAGGCUUCAUUUUUGCUACCAUUGCAUCGGGUUCUGGCCUUAUUCUUUUGUGACUUAUACUCCAAUGAUUGAUUUGUAUCUUUUGCCUUCAUCACAACCAUGUUUGAUCUUCUUCUUUUUUUCCAUAGCUAAUGAUUUUAUCAAGUGGUUAACAGUAUUCAGUUUUGCAUUCGAAGUUUCGUGUUCAAUUACUCUUUUUUUUUUCUUGUAUAAAAUAAAGGAACUUACAAAGACAAUCCCCUAGAGUUCCCAACAUUCCGUACAUCAAAAUAGAUAUUUACUAUGCUAAAAAGAAAAUUAGAAAACCAGGCACAAGGGGCUGUAAAAAGUUACGUCCUAUAUUUGCUAAAAGAUCUGCAAUUACCCCUCUAAUAAAAGUGAUGUUGACAAUCUUUGGAAACUUGUAAUUACAAUAUAAAUAACCAGGGAAAUGCCAAAGAAGAAACCGUGUGGUUAUUUCUAAGAUAAUGAACUUAAUCAUAAAUAAAUGAAGAAGCAAGAGAUAGAGAGAGACUUUGUUAAAGAGUUGACCGGAGAAGCUGCGCCAGCAAUUGAAGCCAAGUAUAUGCCUAAAGAUGCUAGAAUUGAUUCUAAGGUCAGUGACCCUUUAAAUAGUCAGCUACUUUGCUCAUUAAUAUCCACGCCAUAACCCAACAGCACGACAACAUCUUCUUCUCCCUCCUCCAAAUGCUAAGUUCAAGAAGCAGGUUAGUUCCUGCAAUCUCUGUUUUCUUUUGAUUUGUACCUGCAAAGUUUUCAGACUUUGAUGCAUGAAAUGAAAUGAAAGCCUAACAGUUAAGUUCCAUGUUUUUCGGAACUGGUUUCUUAAUUUGGAAAUUAGGACCACUUAAAGUAGAUAGACUUUUACUUUUUCAAGGUAAAAGGUGAUCGUCAUGGUAGGGCAGCCCCUUGAUCUUCCAUUGGAAGUUGAGGGUUUAUGUAUCCAACCAGAGGAGGGUGCCCAUAUCACACUAAGGCUCUACUUUUAAGGGCUGUUUUUAGCCUCUGUGUUGCUGAAUUUUUAGGAAAAACAUGCUUCAAUUGUUUCUUUUCAUUGGCUCAACCAAGAAAAUAAUACCAUAAUUAGAACAAAUGCUCAUGAACCAGAGUUUGCUUGUUCUGAGCACACUUGAGGUCUGCCUUGUCCAGAAAAACUUGUGUGAAACUGCUAUCUCCGGUCAACAACGGUGUGCCACAGGUGAUAAUUUUUUCACUUGGCAUACUGUGAUUGGACAUAUAUAGCAAAGCAGUGUUAUCUUCGUUCCACACAAGCGUUUCUCCUGCCUCGUCCCACAUGCACCAUACUUCAAAAUAUUUCUUCACUUAGGACCGACUCCUUGGAAAUUUUGAAACUUCCUCAGUUCUGAUUUGUUUUUUUUUUUUUUUUUUUCACACAAAUGAUAUGAAUUCCAGUUUCUGGACCAAAAAAAUAUGUGGCGUUUGUUUCUCUGUCUGUGUUUUUUCUCUUGUUCAAUUAAAGCCAUUCAUGGAGUAUGCUUGCAACUUGCAAGUUAGCCCCAUAUGGCAGGCCCUUGAUGUUCCCCUAUCUGUCUUCAUUCAUUCAAAUCCCAUAAAACCUACCAUUUAAUUUCUGUAAAUAAAAAAUACUUUGUCGAUUCUUCCUCCCUUUUUUUAAAUAUAUUUAUUUUGUCUUGAUAUGAAAAAGUCUACGUACAUUAUGGAAUGAGAAAUUUUUAUCUUUAGUACAAUAAUUGAGAAGUUAGAAUAUGUCACUUCUGGAUGACGUUUUGAAUCGAAUUUGAAAAACAAAAAUAUAUCUGUUUAAAAUUAAAAAAAAAUUACUCCUCCUUUGAAGUCAAUAGUCAACCACAGUCAAUUUGCCAAAACGCUAUAAACAAAACCAGCGGUGCAAGUACUACAAUACAAAGUUACAAACGAAAAAUGGCCUGCGUGAGCUGAGCCAAGUAGUUGGUCCAUCAAUUCCAUCGAUGCAGACCUGCAGACUGCAAUGAAUAAAAACAAGCAUUUCCUUUGAAAAUUCAACAUCCUGCUCCUCCUUAUGUCAAAGUGAUUACAAGCUAGAAGAAAACUUGGUUGGUUCCCAUGUCUUUCUUUCCUUCUUUCACGGUAACACAUAGUCAUGAGCUAAUUUUUCCUCUAAGUGGGUAUGCUUCUAGAAAGUUAUGAUUUAUGAUUUUGAUUGAUCUGGGGUCACCAAAAAAUGAUGGGAAUUUUAUUUAUUUAUUUAUUUAUUAUUUAUCAUAUGGUCAAUUAAGUUGCGGAAACAAUAUGUUUCUUGUAUUUUCUUGCUUCUGAUGCAGUGAUUAUUGAUUUUUCAUAUGCAGAACAAUUUAAUUUUCAGCGGGCAAUUACUAGCAAGCGAUGGCUAAAGAGCAAUUGGGAGUGCUUAAUGCACUCGAUGUGGCCAAGACUCAGUUGUACCAUUUCACUGCAAUUGUGAUUGCAGGAAUGGGGUUUUUUACUGAUGCUUAUGAUCUGUUCUGCAUUUCCUUGGUCACCAAGUUACUCGGCCGCAUAUACUACACGGACCUAAACCAGCCAAAGCCGGGCACAUUGCCUCCCAAUGUGGCUGCUGCUGUUAAUGGUGUGGCUCUAUGUGGCACCUUAGCAGGCCAGCUCUUUUUUGGUUGGCUUGGUGACAAAUUGGGUCGUAAAAAGGUCUAUGGGAUCACCCUUGUUCUCAUGGUCCUAUGCUCCGUUGCAUCAGGACUUUCAUUUUCUGAUCACCCAAAGGGUGUGAUCACCACUCUUUGCUUCUUCCGGUUCUGGCUUGGAUUUGGCAUUGGUGGUGAUUAUCCGCUUUCAGCUACAAUCAUGUCUGAGUAUGCCAACAAAAAGACUCGCGGGGCGUUUAUAGCCGCGGUGUUUGCAAUGCAAGGAUUCGGUAUUUUGGGUGGUGGGAUUGUGGCUUUGAUUGUGUCAACCGCGUUCGAUCACAGUUUCAAGGCUCCUGCAUACUCUGUGGACAGAGCUGGUUCUCUUGCGCCUCAAGCUGACUUUGUUUGGCGUAUCAUUUUGAUGGUUGGAGCUCUCCCUGCUGCUCUAACUUACUACUGGCGUAUGAAAAUGCCCGAGACAGCUCGGUACACAGCCCUUGUGGCCAAAAACGCCAAGCAAGCUGCAUCAGACAUGUCUAAGGUGUUGCAAGUUGACCUUGAAGCUGAAGAGGAAAAACUAGAGAAAAUUACUCGAGAGAAAUCCAAUACCUUUGGUUUGUUCACCAAGCAAUUUGCUCGUCGCCAUGGUCUUCACUUGCUUGGCACCACUUCCACUUGGUUCUUGCUAGACAUUGCCUUCUACAGCCAAAACCUUUUCCAAAAGGACAUCUUCAGCGCCAUUGGGUGGAUCCCGAAAGCAGAGAGCAUGAAUGCAAUUCAUGAGGUUUAUAGAAUUGCAAGAGCACAAACACUCAUAGCAAUGUGCAGCACUGUCCCUGGAUACUGGUUCACUGUCUUCUUCAUUGAUUACUUGGGCAGGUUUACAAUCCAGUUGAUGGGUUUCUUCUUCAUGACAGUGUUCAUGUUUGCAUUAGCAAUUCCUUACCACCACUGGACCUUGAGGCCCAACAGAAUUGCAUUUGUUGUCAUCUACUCAUUCACCUUCUUCUUCGCCAAUUUUGGACCCAAUGCCACCACAUUUGUUGUGCCAGCUGAGAUUUUCCCAGCAAGGUUGCGGUCUACGUGUCACGGUAUAUCAGCUGCAGCUGGGAAGGCUGGGGCUAUUGUUGGAGCAUUUGGGUUUUUGUAUGCAGCACAGAGCAAGGACCCUACAAAGACUGAUGCAGGGUACCCACCUGGUAUUGGUGUGAAGAAUUCUCUAAUUAUGCUUGGUGUGAUCAACUUUUUCGGCAUGGUGUUUACUCUGUUGGUGCCAGAAUCCAAGGGAAAAUCACUUGAAGAGCUGACUGGUGAGAAUGAAGAAGAAGAGGGGGCAGAGCAGCAGGCCAAUUCUACUAGAACUGUUCCAGUUUGAUGGGGUCGUUUAAUCAAAGCUUUGUGAAUUUACAAUGGUUUUUAUUUACUUUAUUUGUGAUGCAAUAAAAAUAAUUUUUAGAUAUAUAUAUAUAUAUAUAUAUAUAUAUGCUUGUGGAAGCCUAAUUGCAGAAGCUAUUGUAUCGUGUUUUCGAUUUGUUUCGAUUGUGUAUGUUGUUUAUUUGUACGAUUUUUAUUUUGUUCUGUUUUGAAAUAUAUUUCCACCUCUUUUUGCUUGCAAUUGUUUGAACAAGCCUAAUGGAUAUCUUGGAGUUGGGGGAAAGCAUAUGCAACCUAGUUUGCAAGCCCAAAUUUGAACCCAUUUCCUUCUGUUUUCUGAAUUCAACCAGAGAUGCUCGAAUAUGAAGGAUUUUAGUCUAAAACUUUUGUUCAGGGAAAAGUGGUGUAGUUGUUUGUUGCUACUUGCAUCUCUUCCUAGACAAAAGCAUAUAUACCCUUCAACCAACGGCAAGACGCAAAAUGCAAAAAACUCAGGAAAAUAUAUAGGUGCCCUUCACACGGGUAUUUUUUAUGAUACUAAAGCAAAGUUCAGUGCGACGACCAACUAGCUCUUGCUCUAAUGGCUUUUCUUCUCGAUGUGAAAGGAUUUUACAAGUUCGAAUAUAAAAAUAGUGCAAAUACAAACCAGUUCUGCAAAUGCAAAAUUUGAUGUAAGUAAUGUCUGUCUCCGUCUUCCAGUAUCCAGAAUCUGAGAGAUAUGAUCAAAUGACCGGUCUAGUAGUUGUAGUUCAUAGCAUUCAUGAUGAUAUGUCAAACACAUGCCGGAAUGUUAGAGCCAUUUGUGUUGGACCAUCUGAAAUUGGAUUUUUUGUCUCUCCUUCUUGGUUAAGGUUAAACUAGAGUGACACUUCAGGUUUUCUGACCCCCAAAAAGUGACAAUGGGGGCAGAGUUAAGCUUGAAGUCUUAAUUCCAACCCUACAUACAAUAAUUAGAAAACAAAACAACAAAAACUGUGAAACCAGAAAAAUGUGCAAGUUUGUGAGACCCUAUUCAAGAGGAAGAGAAUUUGACUACCAAAAAUGAGGAAAAAUAGGUCAAGAUUUGAACGGUUCGGCCGAUUUUUUGUCCACAAAAAAAUCUGUCUGUUGCAUGAAUAUAUUGUAUGCAUAAUUAAUAUUAGAAGAGGGUAAUGUGAAAACAAUAUUUUGAACCUAUUGGCAGCCAAGAAAAUGCUUAAUUAUUGGACUGGUAAACUGGCAAAGUUUAAAACGAGAUGGUUUAGACUGUUUUGGUGAAAAUGGUGGGUAGGAUUUCCAGUCAUUGACUCUUACCAGCUUUGCUGUACUAGUAGCUAGCUUGGCUUGAAAGGGAAGGUCAUCACUUCACUAGGAUGACAAGUUGACUAGACAAGUCAAAAAGUUUGGAAAAGAAGGCAUGGGGAUAAGGAGGAGGGUGAGAGAAGGUGCAUGUGCAUCACUAAUUUGAAAUUAAUUAUGUGCCUCACACUUCUUAAUCAUCUAGCAAAUCACUUGUAGAUAUUAAUAAUGGAUUUGAAGGUUCAUAACAAAUGUAUGAAAAGAUCUAUAUAAAGUUAAAAUCUUACUAAAAGUUCAUCCUUUUGUGUCAAAUUGUUAUGAGCAUUGAUGCAAGACAUUUUGCAGGCAACGCGGCUGCAUUCAGUUCAGUUAUUUUCUCGCAUGCUCACUUCACUUGGUGACAGAUUUGCUUCUAAAUCUCUUGGCUCAUGUGAUUGGGAUCGCUUGCUCCCGACACUUGGAAAAUACGUAAACAUGUUUUUCAUGAAUGAAAUCAUCUUUUUCAGAUUUGCGUCUAAAUCUCUUGGUCCAAAAUUGUCUUUGACGUGAAUGAAAUCAUCUUUUUCCCCUGUAGAGUAACAUGUUAGCUGUAACUUGUAAGCAUACACAAAGAAGAAAAGGACAUGCUGCAACUUGCAAGGAUACCAAGACUCUUUGAGACAACUUGGUUGCAUCAUCUUUAGACUUGUUAGUUCUUCUUUCAGUUUCGAUCAGCAUACGAAAAUUUUGGAUAAAAUAUAUACACUUCCUGCGAUAUUUUCCUUCACCAAAAUUUCAAAACUUGCCAAUCUUACAUUUGGGAACCAUGUUCUCAUUAUGUAUAACUAUAAGUUGGUCCACAUAGAAAUAUUGAAACGCCAUCCAACUAGUUCUCUUUCAUGUGACAUCACGUCAACAAAAACAACUUUGAAACCACAAAUACAUGGGUAAGUUAUAGCGGCGGUCCUACGUUUUGGAGGUACUAGGUGAACAUCCUAAAUGAGGCCUUCUACUGUAUAUGUAUAUUUAUGUGAAUUUUUUUUUCUUUCUGUGAGUUAAAAAUAUAUUAUAUGAACUCAAAUUCACAAUUGUAACAUAAAAGAAACAAUCAAUGUGUAAUUUACACAGCAACUUUAUAAAAUGCAUCACUUAAAAAUGUCACUCAUUUUUCAUUUUUCGAUUCAAAAAUAUCAAUUAACAUAAUCAAGUUUUUCUCCCACGUAUUUUUCAGUUUCCUAAUUGAUUCAACUAGUUAAUUGAUUUAAGUUAUAAGUUUUAAAAAAAAUUAGGUCUUUAUUGAGUUUUCUCUUUUUAAUUUUGAAUUUUCUCUUUUUUCAUUUCGCUUUGUCUGCUUGUGCCCAGGGCCUCUCCUGGUAGGUUAACUUACGUGUAGCUAGGGAUAUCUUUUUUUCUUUAUGAUCAGGUUGGUUGAAUGAAUAUAAUGACCUCACUUUCGUGAGAACUCAGAAACUUUGGUGGUCCAACUUUUCUUGGCAUUCAUGAGUUGUUUAAAUCUAUAUGGCUAGCUUUUCUUUUGAAAUCGUAGCUUUUUUACUUUGACAUACAUAUUAAUCUGUGCUAAGCAUCAAAACACCAUGCAUGCAUGUUUUUCAUGCGAAUAUCUCAAUUUAGAUGCUUUUUUCUAGACCAAAAGCUUUGCAUUUCAAUUCAAAGACGUAUCAAAAAUGUGGUAAAUGUGGUACCACCUCUCUAAUAGAGGUGGAGUCCACCAAUAUAAUGGGGUUCACCUCUAUUAGAGAGGUGGUACACAAUAUGGUAUGAAAAAUGUGGUAAACUUAACAUUUUCCAUCAACUAAUCACAUAUAUUAUUUAUUUAAGACUCCAAUUAAACUUCUAUUAUGUGUUAUUGUCAUUUGACAACAAUAUUAGAUAAAAAGAGCAUUUUAAUACAUUUUUACUUUAAAAAAUUUCUCGUAGCCUUGGUCUACUGGUACGAUUCUUUCUCUUUCGAAAAUUAGAAGAUAUCUCAAAUUCAAAUCUCUGUCCUCAUUAAUCAAAAAAAUAAAAAUCAUUUUGGACAAUGUAUAUAUUUUCUUCUUUGUAAUGCUAGGGGAGCAACUCGUCUCAAUUUUUUUCUUUUUUUCUUUUUCCUAUAAUUGAUCUGCUACCCACCCAUAGUGGCUGGGGCUAUCUUAUCUCAGUUUUUAAUAUCAACUAAUAUGACACAUACCAUAACAAUUGGUAUGAAUAAAGACAUAAAAUUAAGUUCAUGCAAACAAAAAUCUAGUUAAAUUAGGAAAUGCACCCAAGUCUAUUGUAUUUAUAUAUUCCUCUCGGAUUUUAAUCUUGAUUUGAUGUUCACAAAUACUGAAUGACAGAGCAUAAUUAAAUUAUAGAAGCUCUCAUAGAAAUUAUUCCAAUUUUCCUUUUUCUUUAUAAUUCCCUCAUAUAGUCAUCAAAAGAAUAACACAAUGGAAUAAAGUUAGACGGUUAGACUCUAAAACUAAAAUGGGUCUUGCAAGGAGCUUGUAGAUGUUGUGAUUAAAAGUAAUUUUUCUUGCACCCAAGAUCUUGUGUUCAAAUUCCCUCCUUCAAUAUAGUUUCUACAAAAUAAAAUAAAAAUGAGUUAUGUAUUUGGACGUAGGGAAUAGUCAGAAAAUUUUUUGUAUGGGUAAAAAAAAGGGUUUUGGGAAAAAUAAAGUUACUAUGUUGACUAAUAGGAAAGAUAGGGUCAAAGAAGAGAGGUAAUGUGAGUGAGAAAUAAGGGGGGGAAUAUGCCUGGUAAAAACGAAGAUUCCUCUGAACAUUUACUGAGAGAUGAUGAGGGUCUGUUGCAGUUAAAUACGGAACCAACCCCGCUUCCCUUCCCUCCAUUCCCAUACUUUCGCUCGCUCGCUCCUCCUUUUCUCUCUGAGUCUAAAUAUAAUACAAAGAAAACCACUCUCCUUAGCUUCAUCACUCUCUUUAAACCUCUCUGUUUUCUUUUUCCACUAGUAAUUGCAGUAAGACAAGGCAUUGGUUUUUCUCCUUGCAGUGUGAUUUCCUCAUAAUUGCAUUCAGAUUCUCUCACCUUCGUUUUCAGCUACGGCUACAAGGUUUGCCGAUUCUUUCCACUCUACCUUUUUUUUUUUUUUUUUCUUUUUGCUUUGAUUUUUCACUCAUGUGGGUUUGUUUUGUUCAUAUCUGUUCUUCAAUUGCCUGCAUAAUUUGGGAUCAAUCAAUGCCUGGAAUUUUCAAUUCCUUUCUUUCUCAGCUCUCACAAGCUUCAUUCUUUUCCAUGAAAGUUUAUAAAUUGUAACAUAUUGCAGAGAUUUAUCUAAUGCACAUACAUUUGUUCUUUGUUUUGCUAAGCCUUGUGUUGCAUUUUGCAACGUUAUCAAGAACCCAAUAUAAAAAUUUAGAAAAGGCAAACACUUUUUCUUGAUUUGGGCACGUGAAAAUCAGUUUCUUUUCAUCUUUGGUGUUGGAUGGUAAUUGGGUAAUUACCGUAAUGUCAAGCAACUUCGCCAUCUUUUGUUGCUCUUGUUCAAGAAUAUUCCUGGAUGUGUCUUUUCUGUUUCUUCAUACUUCACGUCUGUUCUCAAAGAAAGCAGAGGAAAAAGGGAGAUAUUUUAUUUGCGUGACAGAUUUUUCAAGCGGUGAAAUGAAAAAGUGUAACUGAAAAUCAUACUAUAUAAUCUGGGCUUCUAAAGCACAAUUCUUUCAUAAGUUUUCUGCUUCAAAGUAAAAUUAUAAAGGUUUGUUGCUUUCAACUUUUGCGUUCUCUAAGCUCCUGUAGUAUUGGAGAUCAUUUCCCUGUGUGUUUUUUUGUUUCUAGUUCUUUCUUUGUUGUGUAGUGAAUCAUUAAUUCUCCUUUCUUUGAUGGAAAUUGGGUUGCAUAAGAAAUUAUUUAACUCUAUGUCUACCCCUUUUAUUUUGUCUGUUUAGAGCACAGAAAACGAGUAGUUGUAGUUGCAGUUGUAGAUGCAGAUGCAGCUGUGUAGUUUGACCAUAUCCCUGCUUUCAAGAAUUUUAAAUUCACUGUUUGAAAUUCAUAUGUAAAUCCAUCUGUCUGCUAAUUCAGCUGCAUCCAUUAGCAAUUUAAUAUAUUCUGACUGAUGAACAUUUAAUUUAGUUUCUGAAUUUGACAUAGACCAACUUUUGUUUUCUUGUUAUAGAAGAAGGAAAGUAUUUUAUUCCACUUUCUUUAGAAUUAAUUUCACUUUAUUGACCCAUGACUUCCUGUGCUCUGGGUCAUUUUCUCAUGUUUCCUUUUGUUGUCAUCAUUAUCGCGAAUUGGGUCUACCACAAUGGAAAAACCUCUUUAGAGGUGUUAAGUUUGAACUACUAUUACAUGACAUUAAUUUUGUGUGUGUGAAAAAUUUUCCUCUUCAUUUGCAAAUUAGAGGUCUUAAGUUUGAACUCCUAUUACAUGACAUUAAUUUUGUAUGUGUGAAAAAUCCAUCCCCCUCUAGUUUAGACUAUCACUUCCCCUCAUGCUUCUCCUAAAAUAAAAGGUCGUGUGGUUUUUAAAACUCAUCUGUUCACGUAAGCUCAUUGAUUGUAGAGGAAUCAAAUCAACCCCUAUUUUGUCUUCUUCUCAAUACCUGUUUUCUUUUCUCUUUUGUUGUGCAAUCACAAGUUUCAUAGAUUGAUUUUUUUUUUCUGCAAUCAAAAUUUCAGGUUAAACAGUUGAAGAAAAUACAACAGGGCAGACCGACUUUAGAGAAGGGGUGAUUUUGUGAUGGCCAGGGAACAACUGGAGGUGCUGAAUGCACUUGAUGUGGCGAAAACACAAUGGUACCAUUUCACAGCAAUUGUGAUUGCUGGCAUGGGCUUCUUCACAGAUGCCUAUGAUCUCUUCUGCAUUUCCCUUGUCACCAAAUUGAUUGGCCGCAUAUAUUACCAACAACCUGGAGCUGCAGAGCCUGGAAGUUUGCCUUCAAAUGUCUCGGCUGCUGUUAAUGGUGUGGCCUUCUGCGGCACCCUCACAGGCCAGCUCUUCUUCGGCUGGCUUGGUGACAAAUUGGGCCGAAAACGGGUCUACGGCAUGGUCCUUAUGGUCAUGGUCAUAUGCUCAGUUGCAUCCGGCCUCUCAUUUGGGAGAGACGCCAAGGCUGUGGUUUCGACACUUUGCUUUUUCAGGUUCUGGCUAGGCUUUGGAAUUGGCGGCGACUAUCCUCUCUCAGCCACUAUCAUGUCUGAGUAUGCAAAUAAAAAGACCCGUGGAGCCUUCAUUGCUGCUGUGUUUGCCAUGCAAGGUUUUGGGAUUUUGGCUGGUGGAAUGGUUGCAAUUAUAGUAUCUACAGCAUUCAAGCACAGUUUUCCUGCACCCUCUUAUGAGGCUGAUGCAGCUGCCUCUAUUUUCCCACAAGCCGAUUAUGUUUGGCGAAUUAUUUUGAUGUUUGGUGCACUCCCAGCUUUGCUUACUUAUUACUGGCGUGCCAAAAUGCCCGAAACUGCUCGGUACACUGCCUUGGUUGCCAAGAAUGCCAAGCAGGCUGCUGCUGAUAUGUCGAAAGU